UUGUCACGCCCCGGGACCCAGCGGGAGCCCGCCCGGCGCGUGCCCAGACCCGCCAUAUGUCUACAACAUAUAAGGCGUCUAAAAACAACAAUAAUAACAGCAAUAAUAAAAGACAUCUAGAAGUAUCAGAGCAUAAUAAAUGUCUAAAUGCUACCACAAGGGAUAAGGAUAAAACAGUAAAUCCACUAAAUAAAACAUAGAGUAAGAACAAUAGGAAAUCCCAAAUACAAGAGCUAUAAGUAGGUACAUAGGUGGUCUCUAUACAUGGAUACAAAAUCUCUCACUCUCUCUCAACUACAAAAAGAAAGAGUAAACCACCUAGGCAAAGUACCGCUCCUCGCUAGCUAGCUAAGCGAUCCCCUUGCCGCGAUCCCGUGCCUCCGCCGGUGCCGAAGGCUCUGAAAAGUAAACCAACAAAACGGGGGCAUGAGAACUAUUAAAAAUAGUGCCAUGGGCAAUUACUGACUUAGUGAAUGCACCACAAAGGCCCAGCAGCUACAGAAGAGUUAGUGACCAAAAUGAGAAAAGCGAAAGGUAAGUAAAAUGUAAACUUACUAGCUAGCAAUUAAAUCUCUACUUGCCUAAAUAGCAUAAGUUACGAACAGCCAUUCAUGAAGUUAACAGUCUCCAACUAUCAUAAUGUCCACAAUCGAAAUAGUAAAAGUUCCGUUGUUUUACUACUUCUAGUUCAAUGUCAAAUAAUACUCUAAGGUCAUUCAUACUAUCCACAUGUCGUAACGGAAUAUAAGUCCAAUCUGGAAAGACUACCCACGCCGAAGGCUGUUCUAUGGCCCUGAGACCACCCGAGCUGUCUGGGCCGGUGCCCGGAGCCUAAAUGGCCUCCGUGUAGUCAUCAUCCGCUAAAAUGCUAGGAAUGAGCCUGGCCCACGUCAAUGCCACUUCGGCGUCCCAUUCCCGCACGGGCGAAUAUGAUCUGGCAUGGCCCAUCUCCGGAGUCCGGCUUGUAGGAGCGACCCUCACAAGCAAGUGCGAAGAGCACACCCUGGCAAAGUAGUCAAGACGAUCAGUCGCAAGUAUCUAAUCCUCAAUGUCGCAAUAACAUGGAUAUAUAGUAAAAUGUCCUCGUGGCCAAGUCACUAUUUCAUCAUAUCUCAAAUAUGGAAUAUAGUUGAUGUCAUGUGCCCUAUUCUCAAGUCUCUAGUUGCAGUUAAGUAAUUCCUAGUCCAAGUUCCCUUCUUUAUGACACUAUGGCUCAUUUUGUCCCAACAAUGAUACUAAUUUCAGAGAACUUACGAAUUCAGUCAACGACCGAAGGCAUGAUAACUUGAUUUCUAAUCUCAUAGAGAUAUUUGUGGCAUGCAUAUUAACAAGCACAUUGUCUCUUCUUCUCUCAGCAUAUAGAUAAUAUUUUCUUCGAUGCACAACAAAUGCAUUGGCUAAGCAUCAUAAACUCUCAUAAAUGCUACUAAGCAUGAGAUUAAGGAGCAUGAAAGCAUUUAACCACUUAGGAGAUAUUUCCUCGCAAUUUUCAAGGAAGCCAAACCAUCGAUGGCAACGUAAACUCCUCGUGCGCCUCCAGCACGAGGGUGCCUCUAGUCUCCUAGUACCAGAGGUACAAGAACAUUGUCCAUACGGGCCAAACAGAACAAAAACAUAGCUCAAUACAUUUAGAUAAUUCAAUCAUAGGUGAGGAAAACUCACCUCUAUGCAAAAAUCUCCUCUAAGCUCCAAAAUGAAGCUAGGCUCAUCACAAUCCAACCCAAAGGAGCCUCUAACAAUCAUCUAGCUUCAAAAGCCCUAGAUUCAAAUGCCCAAAAUAAAACUAAAUAUCAGCAAUCUUAGGUUUCAAACUCAAUGAAAUUCCAAUAAAACUCAAAUCUAGAGAAGAUAGUAUAAUGCUUACCUCUUAGAAGCUUUAAAUCAAGCUCUAAAUCUUUACAUCCAAGAUCUACCUCACACUUAGCUCCAAAUCCGCUUCCUAGCAUCCAUCAAUGUGGGAGAAGCAGUAAAGAGGAAAGAAAGGAUUAACUCUAAAAUCUAGCUUACGAGGGAGAUUAAAACCAAAUGAGAAUCAAAGAGAAGCUCCUCCUUACUUGCUCCCUUGCAGUGGCAAGCUUCAAAGAAGAGCCUAGGGGCCGUGUGCUGUUAUACGUAUUGCUACAAAACGGCACAAGAACCCCUGCACGUUUCAUUCUGACAAAUCUGACUCCUUGUACCGGUACACGGGCUCUUGUACCGGUACAAGGCCGACGAAAUUGCAAACCCGAGGCUCGGGUCGCGCGGUCUGCGGCUCUGUACCGGUACAAGCCCGAUGGCUGUACCGGUACAACCAUCAACCCUUGUACCGGUACAAGGCCAGUCUUGUUCCGGUACAAGCCCUGCUGCAGGCUACCCGAGAGCUGUCCAAUGAAUCCAAUUUUUGGAUUUUGGUACCAAGCUUCAAACCAACAUCCUCGGGGUGCGUGCCAGGGGUCGGAACACUAUCAACGACCCUCCAGAAACUGUGGAGAGGCUCCACACACCAAUCAAACACUCGAAUCUUGCAAUUUGCUAAGAUCCAGUGUAUUACACAUUUACAUAAUGCUAACAUGCCCGUAUGCACAUACAUAUGCAUCAACAAGAAUCCAUAUUCCACUUUGACAUGUGGGGGGACCUAGUCGCUUUGGUAAGCACAACCCACCUUAACUUACUCUCCGAUUGCUCGUAGUCACUUGCAAUCGGCCUCCCGCGGCACCCGUGAUCCGGUUCGGCCCAAACUCUCGUGCAACUACCCAAACGGCCACCAAUCCACGAUCCGAAAAUUAAAGGUCUACGUUUAGUUGCCACGGGCCCAUGAUUCCGAUUUCAUGAUUUUUGGACGUCGCCUCGGCCCUCCAGGCAGAAACGAAGCCAAAAACGUCGUUUCUUCAAUAACUUCGCGUAGGCUCAACGAAUCACCAAACCGACUUCGCCAACGCGUUAAAAUACCUAGCAAUUAGGUUUACAUCGGUCCAAUUUAGAUCAAACCCCUACAUUUACAAAACUAGCAUUUCUAACCCUAGCAUGAAAACAACCCCAAAUAAUUUAAAAUUAAAUAGAGCGACAUGCUAGAAACACUUUAGAGACCAUUAGAACACUAAACAUCAAGGAUUAAACCAAAUCCUAGAAGCUUACCAAAUUGUGAACGCCGAGUCGAAAGCACGCCGCGCAACCGGGUGCACGAAGACUCGAACCGACGCUUCGCACGCAUUCACAAGCACGCUCUCGGCCAACACCGCAAGUUUGAGGGAGAGAUCUAGAGAGAUGAGAGAGAUAUUUAGAGAGAGAAAGGAGAGUUUCUCUCUCUCCCUCCAUGCAUGCGUGUGAUGCUUGCUGGUGGUGAUGCUCGGUUGAAGGAGAAAAGAAGCGAAUAGCUUCUUUUAUAAUAAACCUCCAAAAACACUAUUCACUUUAGUUUGUAGCUCAGGUACAGAUAUUUUUCGCAUGCCCUUCUGAAUGUCCGUUUGAGCUCAAACUUGCCAGUCAGGCUCGGUUUUACUUAACUUAACGAAAAAAAUUUUAAUCUUUCAGUUUCGACCACAUUUGGUCACCGAAAGCUCUACCGAACUGUAAUCUCUAGCAGAUAGUAGUCGGAUUUUAUUUUUCACCUUUCCGGUGUCAAAAUGAGAUGAAACUUUAAAUCUAGCCUCAUAAAAAUAAUUCUGACAUAUUAUCCAGUUUUCAUAAUUUUCUGACACUGUGCAUUUUCUGCUAAAAUAUCAGCCCCAUCACUCUCAUAAAAUUCUAAAUCUUCUGUUUUCGUUUCGAUUUCAGCACAAGUUAUUUCUAACUUAUAUUUUACUUCUCUAAAUCUAAAAAAAAUAGUAUCUCACACUAUUUUUAUUUAUUUUUACUUUUAUAUCAAAAUUUGGUAUGUUACAUUCUCCAUCCCUUAAAAAGAAUUUCGUCCGCGAAAUUCAAACCACGCCUCAAUUCAGCUCCUCGAGCAAUUGAGGGUACCGACUCAUUCUCCCACUCCAGAGCGGCUUCACACUAUUGUGGUUCCAGAAGCAGCUCAUACUGAAGGACGUUGGUUUAAUCCUAAACACAUUUGCAAAGUGUGAUACAAAAGUGCAUCACGGGUCUUGCAAGUCAUAGUGGCAGCGCAAGUUGGUACUCGAUGACUCUACGCGCUCCAACCCCACUCGCCACUCAGUACACAAAGGACUCUUCUUUGCAUUGACCUUCCCUUCAGGGAACACAUCCCAAUUCGAUCACCAACAUUGCUUAGAAGCAAUAUCACCGGUGCAUCGUUCCAUCGUGAGUGCUUCAAUUCCGCACUAACCUUUAGUUCUAACGUGAGAUGGCCCACCUCGGCGCAUCCCAAUUCAUUGUGGAUUGUUUAACCAAGUCGGCACAUUUCGUACCGAUCCACACUACAUGGUCAGGUGACAAGUUAGCGCAGGUGUAUCUCAAUGAGAUUGUGAGGUUACACGGGGUUCCAAGGUCGAUCGUGUCGGAUCGAGACCCCCGUUUUACUUCGCAUUUUUGGAAAAACCUGCAGGAAGCGCUCGGCACACGCCUCGAUUUCAGCACCGCAUUCCAUCCUCAAAUUGAUGGACAAUCAGAGAGAACCAUUCAGAUCUUGGAGGAUAUGCUGCAGGCGUGUGUGAUCGACUACAAGGGUAGUUGGGCAAGUCAUUUACCGAUGGCCGAGUUCGCCUACAACAACAGUUACGAGGCGAGUAUAGAGAUGGCACCGUUUGAGGCUCUUUAUGGGCGAAAGUGUCGGUCUUCUAUACAUUGGAGUGACGUAGGUGAACGUGCGGCAUUGGGCCCUGAUGUGUUGCGGGAGGCGGAAGAGAAGGUCCGUCUCGCUCGCGAGAAGUUGCUCGCGGCGCAAUCUAGACAAAAGAGCUACUCGGAUAAGCACCGUAGAGAUUUGGAGUUCGCGGUGGGUAACCGCGUCUUCUUUAAGGUUUCGCCUAUGAGAGGCGUGAAGCGCUUUGGAGUGCGGGGGAAGUUGAGUCCCCGCUAUAUUGGACCUUUCGAAGUGUUGGAACAUAUUACAUUGGUAGCAUACCGACUCGCAUUACCGCCGAAGCUUGCGGAUGUACAUAAUGUGUUCCACGUCUCCAACCUUCACAAAUAUGUCCACGACCCCGAGCAUGUUAUGUAUUAUGAACCGCCGAAUCUAUAAGAGGACUUGAGCUAUGAGGAGUUCCCGGCGAUGAUCAUUGCUCGAGAGGUGCGAAAAUUGAGAAAUCGUGAGAUUCCCUACGUGAAGAUUUGUUGGACCAAUCACAGUGAUCGUGAGGCCACGUGGGAACUCGAGGAGGUGAUUAAAGGUGCAUUAUCCCCAUCUCUUUGAAGAAGCGAGUUGAGGUAUGAAUUAUUGAAGUUAUUGAAUUCGUUUCGAGGACGAAACUCCUUUAUAGGAGGGGAGGAUGUAAGGAAGUGAAUUCUCGAAAUACGAGAGUUGGAUUUCGCUCAAAGUCGACAAAUUGUCGAGUGGGAGUGCUUCGGAAAAGCCGAAGAAGUCAAAAGCACCAAAAGUGCAUUAGAGUUGGAUCUCGGAGAGCGAAUUGAUGAAAAUCUACAUCUGGCAGAUUUUGCUCUCGGGGACCGGUCUCUGGUGGGAGAGACCGGCCCCCGUAAGUAUUGUGGGCGGCAGAGAAGCUCUGCACGCAAGUAUUGUUCUCGAGGUCCGGUCCCUAAAGAGGGGACCGGUCCUUGAAGGUCCGGUCCCUCAGGUGAGGACCGGUCCCUGUACGCGUAGCCAGCGGGAAGAAGAGAAAAUCGGCUAAGUCCUGAGAGUUCAGCUCUCGAGGACAGGUCCCUGGAGGGAGAGACCGGUCCCCGUGCGCGUGAAAGGGUUGGCCCGAGGGCUCUACAUGUGAGGCAGCUCUCGGGGACCGGUCCUCCCGUAGAGGGAUCGGUCCCCGCACACGAAAUCUACCUAGUCCGGGCAGUGCAUAAGAGGCAAAGUGGAGGGGGCUAAAUGCUAUUAUAGCAUGAGAGGGGUUAAGUGGGCAUUUCCCCUCUCUCUUUCUCUCAUUUCCCUCCAAUAUACACACAUCUCUUUCUCUCUCUAGGAAGAAAAGAAGGAGAAGAAGGAAAAGAAGAAGAAGAAGAAGAAGAAGAAGAAGAAGGAAAGGAAAAGGAAGAAGGAGAAGAAGAUCAAGAUGAGGGUUUCCAUCAUCUUCUCCAUCUCCUUCUUUGCUUGGGCUAGCUAAUAGAGGUAAGCAUCUACACCUUCUCAUGGUAGAAGUGUUAGGGUUGGCUUUGAUCUCUUAGAACCUAGCUAGAUGGACUCUAGUGGAUCUCUAGAAGUGGAUGAACUCAUUGAUUGCAUGAUUAAAUGCUAGAAUAGAGCUAUUGCAAUAUUGGGGCUUCUAGGGCAUUCAAAAGAGGGGUUUUUCUUGUGAGGGGUUUUGAUCUCAAUUGACUCUUCUUUAAUCUAAUUGUUAGGUCCCCGAACGCGUUCGUGCACUCGAUUUGAGCAUUCGUCGAGGCUACGAAGAGAUAUUGGCGAAAGACCCAUUUUUGGCUUCGUUUUCGCUUGGAACGCCGAGGAAACAUCUAAAAAUCACAAAAUCGGAACCCUAGCCUUUUGGUAGUAUAAGAAGGUGGGGGGUGUCCAUCUCAAAGCAACCGGGCUUCUUUUUAUGUCUAAGUUCUUUAUAUUGAUCAUAUAUUGAUAUUAUGCAUUAUAGAAUUAGUAGAUAGUUACAAUUCUAACUCCUUGCAUGCUUUCUUAGCAGUGUAGCAUUGAGGGCUUGACACAUGGACUAGGGACGCAUGAGGAUUGAGUCUUGUGACAUGGAAUCCUAUAGUGGCGCAAUGAAAUGAACUUGGACAUGUAUAGCCUAGAUGAGUAGCAUUGAACUAGUGUAGUAGAAACACUAAACAUGAAUGAGUGGCAUGUCAACUAGUUAGAAAACUUACUACAAAUGAUCGAACGAGUGGCAUCGAGUCUAGUGUAGUAAACAUGACAUGAACUUAGGGAUGGUAGAAGUCCUGUCAUUUGAUUAUGCAUCGUGAUUGUGCAGCAGAGGCAAUAUGACCCUAGUAGAUUGUGAGGAUUGGAUCAUACUCACUAGUCUGUUUUGCUUGUCGGUGGUUACUCCACUGAAGCAGUGGUGUAACACACUGGACCUUUGCAGUGGUGUAACACACUGGACCUUUGCAAAUUUCGAGGUUCGAGUGUUUGGGUUGAGUUAUGAGUUUUUUCAGAUUUUCUGGUGGGUCGUUGACAGUGUUCCGACCUAUGGCUCGUAUCCCUAGAAUUGAGGUUUGAAGCUUUGCACCAAAACUCGAAAAGUCAGAUUUUUGGUCAGCUCUCAGGUAGCCUUCAGCAGGCUGUGUACCAGUACAGGGUUGAUGGCUGUACCGGUACAGGGUUGAUGGCUGUACCGGUACGUGGGCCCGUGUACCGGUACACUGCGGCAGAUCUGAAUGGUCGAACUGCAGGGGUGUUUUUGCGAUUGUGCUUUCUAUAACACCACCCAUGCCCCUUAGAGCCUCCCCUGAGCUGAAACCAGUGAAGAGCAAGGUAGGGCUCCUCUCCUCCUCUCCUCUUUGGUUUAUUCUUCCCUUUUUACUUGGGAUUUAAGGUUUGAUUUCCUCUUUUGCUCCUUGGUGCUUGUAAUAUACCGAAAAUUCGGAAGAUAAAUAUCGAACUUUAGUCAAAUUGACCAAAGUGCGAGGACGGUACACUUCGGAAAGUCCGAAGAUGUUAAAAUGAGUAAAAGUGAGUUAAAGAAGGUUUUCGAGAGCUAGAGAGUUAAAUUCUGCAAAACUGUAGAUUUUCAGCUCUCGGGGACCGGUCNUUGAUGGUUUUUUUGAUAUGAAACCCUAGAAUGAGGUUUUAGGGUUGAUUUUGGGCAUUUUGGAUCUAGGGCUUUUCGAGCUUAAUCUCUUGGAUUAGACCUUCCUCUAGGUUAGAUUGGAAGGGUUCUAGCCCUCUUUUGGAGCUUAAGAAGAGAUUUCUUCAUUGAAGGUGAGUUUUGGCCCUUUUCUUGAGACGGUUAAAGAUCGAGCCAGGGAUUGUUCGUAACGUUCGUUUCUCUCUUCUUUCCUUACCUUUAGGGUGCUAGAGGACUUGGGGACAACUUCGUUUGAGCUUACGAAGGGUUUCGAGAUGCUUCGGUGGGUUUGACCUAGCCGCACAAUGAGAAAUUCUCAUUUGUGAUGAUUUGAGUAUCGUAAAAUAGAAAAUAAUGCAUAUUCAUGUUAAAUGUAUUUAUUAUGAAUUUUAGAAUGCUUAAAAUGCCUAUGUUACAUAUAAUGCAUUUUGGACCUCUAUGUAGUGGAGAGUUGCAUGUGGGGCUUAUGGUUGCAUUUAGCAUUCCGUGUGGGAUUUGGGACCAUGUUUCCUAUAGUAGAAAUGACAUAUGUAAGUACCCUUGAACUUAAAUUCUCAUUGGACAUAAAAACUACUACAAUGCCAUAAAGAGGCAUCAGACAAGAUUGACAUGUGAAAUUGUGAACUAAUGUCAUAAAACAGCAUUGAGCUCGGGUUAUGUGUGAACCUAGUGGAUAGAGCCAUUGAGAGAUUUGGAAAUUGGAACAUGCUUGAAUAUAGAAUUGUCUUAGUGUCAUAAGGAGGCACUAGACUUAGUGAAUGUUGGAACUUCACAUUGAGACAUUGAACUAGAUCUUCGAGAUGCUAGUGACUUUUACCAUGUUAGAGACAUGAUGAUUGGACUUUUGAGACGUUGACUACGCUUCCUUGCCAUUUGUGCUCAUUCGCACAUGCUUGUGAGGGUCGCUCCCUACAAGCCGGCACUCCGGAGUUGGCCUACGCGAUUUAUGCUUGCUCGUGCGGUAUCGAAAAACCUACGGGGUCGGGAGGGAUAGACUCAUUCCUAUAGUGGAAAUACUGGAGCUACCACCGACACUUAGGUGGCACAAGCUGGACUAUAUUUAUGCAAGUCCUAGAACAUGAUUAAACAAUGACAUUGAACCGGAAAAUGACAAUCACUACUAAAUAGGCUUAGUAGUUUGAUUACUUCGACAUGCUUAUAGCAUAGUGUUGGGACAUGUAGUAUACGUGAUAGUCUUAUUUGUUGCAUCAUAGUAUACUUGUGUCACGCCCCGCCCCGAAACCUCUUGUGUGAUAAUCAUCAUCGGGAACUCUUCAUAGCUCAAGUCCUCUUGAAGCUGCGGUGGCUCAUAUAGCAUUGCGUGCUCAGGGUCGUGAAUAUACUUGGGGAGAUUGGAGACAUGGAACACAUUGUGUACAUCCGCGAGCUUCGGCGGCAAAGCGAGUCGAUAAGCCACCAUGCCAACUCGCUCCAAUAUUUCAUAGGGUCCAAUGUAUCGAGGACUCAACUUUUCCCGCACUCCAAACCGCUUUACACCCCGCAUCGGUGAAACCUUCAAGAACAUGCAUAGCUUUGCUGUCUGCAUAUCUCGUUGGCGCCUAUCUCGUUGGCGCCUAUCUGCAUAGCUUUGCUGUCUCGACUGCGCCGUGAGCAAUCUCUUGCGAGCAAGGCGGACUUUCUCUUCCGCUUCUCGCAGAACAUCAGGGCCGAACUCUGUACGCUCACCCACAUCGCUUCAGUGUAUAGGAGACCGACACGUCCGCCCAUAGAGAGCCUCGAACGGUGCCAUCUCCACACUAGCAUGAUAACUGUUGUUGUAGGCAAACUCGGCCAUAGGUAGGUGAUCACACCAACUUCCCUUAUAGUCGAUGACACAUGCUCGCAACAUGUCCUCUAGAGUUUGAAUGGUUCUCUCUGUUUGCCCAUCGGUCUGAGGAUGAAAUGCGGUGCUAAAGUCGAGCCGUGUGCCAAGGGCUUCCUGCAGGCUCUUCCAGAAGUGUGAAGUGAACCGGGGGUCACGAUCCGACACGAUCGAUUUCGGCACCCCAUGCAGUCUCACUAUCUCGUCGAGGUAUACCUGCGCUAACUUGUCACCCGACCAUGUGGUGUGGAUCGGCAAGAAGUGAGCCGACUUCAUCAGUCGGUCCACAAUUACCCAAAUUGCAUCGUGGCCUCCCGUUGAGCAAGGCAAGCCGACCACAAAGUCCAUCGAUAUAUCCUCCCACUUCCAAACGGGGAUUGGUAGGCUUUGAAGCUUUCCCGCUGGAAAUCGACGCUCUGCUUUCACUUGUUGGCAUGUUAAGCACUUCGCCACAAAGCGUCCAAUAUCACUCUUCAUUCCCGGCCACCAGUAGUGCAUUUUUAGUCCUUGAUACAUCUUGGUGCCGCCCGAGUGAUCGGCAUAUGGAGACCGAUGCGCUUCUUGUAGAAUUAGCUCGCGAAGUUCUCCAUCUUUUGGCACACACCAUCGGUUUCGAAACCGAAGUGUACCACUGGCGUCUGUACUGAAAUCUCCGCCUCGACCAUCCUCGAUGUCUCGCCGUACCUUUUGGAGUUCUGGGUUUGCGGAUUGCAGAUCUUUGAUCCUUUCCAACAAGGUCGGUUGAAUAACGAGAGCCAUCAACUGGGCCGGAACCUCGGGAGCGACCACCUCAAGGUUCAUCCGCUCCAUGUCUAACCACAAAGGUGAUUGAUUUGUAACCCACAUCGAGAGGUUCUCCGCCGACUUUCUGCUCAAUGCAUCAGCGACCACAUUGGCUUUCCCGAGGUGGUAGAGGAUAUCGACGUCAUAGUCCUUUAACAAUUCUAACCACCGCCGCUGUCGCAUAUUGAGUUUCUUCUGUGUGAACAGAUAUUUCAAACUCUUGUGGUCUGUGUAAAUCUCACAAUGGGCACCAUACAAGUAGUGCCGCCACAGCUUCAAGGCGAAGAUUACCGCUGCUAGCUCCAAAUCGUGGAUGGGGUAGUUCUUCUCAUAGCUCUUCAGCUGACGGGAUGCAUAAGCAAUCAUUUUCCCGUUUUGCAUCAAAACACACCCCAGUCCUAGAUAGGAGGCGUCGCUGUAGACUACGAAGUCUUCGCCUUGUACCAGUAGAGCGAGCACCGGAGUCGAAGUUAAUUUUUGCUUCAACUCUUUAAAACUCCGGUCGCACUCUUCGCUCCACACGAACCUAGUGCCCUUCUGAGUCAGACGGGUAAGUGGAAUUACUAUCUUAGAAAAGCCUUCCACAAAUCGCCUAUAAUAGCCUGCCAAGCCCACGAAGCUUCGAACCUCCGUGACAUUCGUCGGGCGCGGCCAAUCCUUGAUUGCCUCAACUUUCCUCGGGUCUACAGAGACUCCACCUGCAGAAAUCACAUGCCCUAGAAAUGCGACUUCUCGGAGCCAGAAGUCACACUUCUUUAACCUAGCAUACAACUUCUCCUCCCGAAGCGUUUGAAGCACUAUCCUCAAAUGCUCGGCAUGUUCCUCGUCACUACGAGAAUAGACCAAUAUGUCGUUUAUGAAAACCACGACAAAUCAAUCCAAAAACUUCCUGAAGAGACGGUUUAUCAAGUCCAUAAAUGCCGCUGGAGCGUUCGUGAGUCCAAAUGGCAUGACCGUGAAUUCAUAGUGCCCGUAUCGCGUACGAAACACAAUUUUCUGCACAUCCUCCGGCUUGAUCUUCAACCGGUGAUAGCCGUACUGUAAGUCUAUCUUCGAGUACACACACGACCCCUACAACUGAUCGAACAAGUCAUCGAUUCGGGGUAGUGGGUACUUGUUCUUGAUCGUGACUCUGUUCAACUCUCGAUAAUCCACGCAGAGUCGAAACGAUCCGUCAUACUUCUGUACAAACAACACCGGGGCUCCCCACGGUGAUACACUUGGCCGGAUAAAUUGCUUGUCGAGGAGGUUUUGCAAUUGACUCCUCAACUCUUUCAGUUCCGCCGGCGCCAUUCGGUACGGAGCCUUCGAGAUCGGUGCGGUAUCGGAAACCAAGUCUAUGACGAACUCGAUCUCCCGAUCCGGUGGUAUCCCCGGUAAUUCCGCGGGAAAUACAUCCGGGAACUCUCACACCACCGAUAACUCCUCUAAUGUUGGAGUUACUCGUUCCACUUCCACAACAGUCGCUAAGAAUGCCGUGCAACAGCUGUCAACCAACUUCCUUGCUCUCGUCGCCGACACCUUCGCGACGAAGCACGAGCUUUGACAAGCCUGAUAUGUGAACUCCUUUUGUCCUGGCUCACGAAAUGUGAUUACUCUGCUCUUGCAGUCGAUCGUUGCAUAAUAUUUCGAGAGCCAGUCCAUGCCCAAAAUGAUGUCAUAAGCCUCGAGCUUCUUGAGUUCUAGCGUCCGAAUAGGCAUUAUCCAGUCACCCAUUUGUACUGGACACGACGCACACUCCGAGUAAGUGUUAAACGUCGACCCAGGGCCUCAACUCGCCACUUGUCACUCGCCUCUAUGAGUAUGCCAUGCAUGCGUGCGAAUGAUCCACUUAUGAACGAAUGUGUGGCUCCUAUAUCAAAUAAAGCCCUGGAGCGAACUCCGUUAAUUAAAACCAUACCUACUACAAGGCGAUGCUCCUCCGCCUCCGCAGGCUCCUCGGUUUGAACCUGAGCGGCGAAUACCCGACCGCUCGGAGCUGAUCGCGUCACCUCAGGUUGACGCGGCAUCACCGCGCGUCCCGUCGACGCGGCCGUCGAUGGAGCUCCUCCAUAGUGAGCCGGAAUCGCCGUCGUCGAUGCAAUCGAUGGGGCAGGUGAGGCUCCUCCUCCCGAGCAGUCCCGAAUGAAGUGCCCCGGUUGCCCACACUUGUAGCACUUGCCUCGGCCCUGCUCACAUCGCGAGACUGGGUGGUCUUCGCCGCAUAUGAUGCAUCGCCGCGCUCCACCGCCCCUUGGCUGAGUCCGUGGAUACUUCGGGGGCUUCUUGGAACGUGUUUGUCCCCCCGAACCGCCGCCGCCUUGGCGUUUCUUGCCCUUGUCCUUGGACUCGGCUAGCAUCUCACGCUUCUCCCGGACAUGGGCGUCUCCGUGCUCUGCCCAAAGUGCUCGGUCGAAGACCUCUGCAAAGGUCGUGAGCUUGAGUAUCUGCACGGCCUUAUAAAUCCCCGGCCGAAGUCCUCGCAAGAACCAAUCGGCCCGGUCCCGGUCAUCCUUCACUACGUCCGGAACACAAUCAAUGAUGUGGGAGAACUCUUGUUCAUAUUCCGCCACUGAGCGGUCCCCUUGCUCCAACUUGCGGAACUUCUCCUUGAGCUUCCGCUUUAGUGUAUCGGGGAAGUAGUUGGCGAACAUCUCCCGCUUGAAUUCCUCCCACAGCAUCGGCGGGAGACUGGAAGACCGAUCUCGCUUCACGCGCUUCCACUAUACCUUUGCCGCUUUCUCCAAACAGUGGGUGGCAAGGUACACCUUAUCCCUCUCCAAGGUACGCAAGUCCUCAAAGAGAGUCUCCAUCGAAUCGAUCCAAGACUCGACCAUCGCCGGCUCCACCUUCUCGCACUCAAAGGUAGGCGCAUGGAACUUGUUGAACUUAAUAAGAGCCACCAAUGCGCGCUCUCCUUCCACAUCUUCGACGGUCACGUCGGGUGUAGCCGAUCCCGACGUCGCCUGUGGUACGAUCGCUGGCGGUGGGCGUGCCGUCACCGGAACCGCCGCUAUACCCUCACCCUCUGCCGCUCCGGGUACAUGAGUCGAGGGUGCGGGUGGACCACCGCCCUCGUUCACCGUCGCAGUCGCUGCCGCAACCUGCUGCUCCAAAAGAUCCUGAAGUCGCUCGAAUCGGGUCUCCUGGCGCUGCACCACAUUGGUCAACGUGGUCACUUGCGCCCGCAAUUGAUCCAUCUCGCUCGGUUCAGCCUGCUCGGGCACCUCGGGAAGCGGUGCCGAAGUAGGCCUCGUGCUCGGGCGUCUUCUUGGUGCCAUUGGCUCCUGAAACGCAAGUACUUGGUUAAUUAUCUUAACCCGUUCGCCUCGUCGCAAUUACGACACACAAUGACUCAACAACGAAAUCGGGCGGAAGCACACAAGUGUACUCAUUCUAGACUCUUGGUAUCAUGUAGUCGGCCGCCGACACAACCACCUCAAGACAAGAACUCAUACCACUUGAAUCCGUCUCUAAUCACAACUAGAGACAUAUUACCAACUUCGACCCAAUCGAAUCAACUUUCGCCAUCGUUAUAGGUUCACGUUCCACUCACGCACCUAUAACCUUAGGGCUUACCAACCUAGGGUCUCCUAGGUCAUCCUAGAUUCUCUCUUUACUUGCUCUUAUCGCUCUGAUACCAUACGACUGUCACGCCCUGCCCCGAAACCACUACCAAUUUGGCACGAUUCGGGCGCGUUGGGCGGACCGCCGAACGGACAGCACCUCUCCUGCCUGCCCAAGGCUCAACAACAGGAAUGUGUACAAAAAUUUACCCAGGAAAUUUAAAUUCUAAAUAUACACAUUCAACGGGGCACAAGUAGUGCGAACAACUGAGAGCAAGUAAUCCACAAGUAAAAACAAGUGAAAUAAAGAGAGUACUUUACUAACUAUUGCAAUAGUUUUGCAUCUUUUUAUAUGUACAUCUUUUCCUCAAAAUGAAUACAUAUGUUCAUUCAAAAUACGUAGCUCUCCAAAUCCUCACCUACAUUAAUCUCUCUCAAUACAUAGAUGUGCUAAUGCAAAAAGGAAAGCUACUAUACUACCACGAUCUCACUGAUUGGGCGCGAUGCCCUUGCCGCGGUCCUCGCUCAGUAAACCUGUACCUACCACUGGAAAUAGAGUGGGGGUGAGAACUAUCUUUCAUAGUUCCUAGUGGGCUCGGCCGCCGACUCCGCCGGUCUCCCCACUAGGUAAAAAUAGGCACAAGUAACAACAGAUAGAUAGAUAGAUAGAUAUCUGAAAGCUGUAAAGGCAUAAAGGAAAACUAUGCUACUAUGCCCAUAAUCAUGUAUAAUGAAUGCAUGCGUCAUAUAGUAAAGGUUUACUAUCAUGCUAACAAAUUCGAUCCAUGUUCGAAUAUUAAUGUUCAAUGACAUUGUUAACUGUUCAUUUACCCAAUCUGUGGUGAAGCCCUUGGGUUCGCCCUCGACUCACCUUGCCAUCCCAUUGGGUGGGUAGCUCCAUGUGCUCCCAGACCCGGGACCGUCUGCGGACCUCCAAGUGGUCCGGACCUCCAAGUUGUCCUAGUCGCGCGACACUCCGGAGUACUCGACGACAAUCCUCUCCAUGUGAGGAUAUGGAUGGCUAUACCACCCCAAAGCAGACCGUGAGCAUGAUCUAUUCCCUCCAUGUGGGGACACCCUACCUUUAGGGCCAACAUCUCAAUAGACACUCGUCUAUAUCCUCUCCAUGUGAGGAUACCCUAUGAACUAGGGUCAACAUCUCUUGCAGAAUCAUCUGUUCCCGACAUUCAUGUAAUGCUGUUUAGCUUUUCUAAAUUCAUUGUUCACAAGGCAUUUUCUAAGGGAUCCACCUAUCCCUAGGUCCAUCGACCUCUAGUGUUAAAUACACUACAUUAAUGCCACUCGAUAUGUUCUUUAACAUUUGAUGCCACUCGUUUGUUCUUUAGCAUUUAAACGCUACUUUCUAUGUCACCAAACACCCAUCGUGUUUCAUCUCUUUUCUUUAGCAUUAUAGGAUUCAUGUUCCGACCCAAUCCUUACCUAUCCAAGUCACCAAGCGUUCCAUGUACACUAGGUUAUCAAUUAGAAAGCAUAAGGAAAGGUACUACUAUGCAAUCCUACAAUGUAACAUGCAAGAGAUGCAAUCAUAUGCUAUUCUAAGACAUAGAAAAGAGCCCGGUUGCUUCGGGAUGACACCCCCCACCUUGUGUAGUCGAUGUUCGUUGUGGAGGUUCCAGAAGUGUUCCUCGGCCCUUCAAACCACGUGUUCCCCGCCUCUUUGGGAGAAACGAAGCUAGGUCGGCCCUAUAUUGCCGAUAGCUCUACACCUGCUCGAUGAAUCAUAAUUCCGACUCCGCCAACACGUUUGGACACCUAGCAAUUAGGUUUACAAGGCCUCAAAUGAGAUCAAUCUCAUCUAUUUUCAAAAAUCCCAUUUUGGGUGCCCUAGGGUUAGCAUCAUGCCAUUUGCACUAUGAAACCCUAGCCUCUAGCUCUAAUCCACCAACAAUGGUGCUAGAAGUCCAUUUGACCUCAUCUCAAAGCUCAAGACCCAAAAACCCUAAGUUCUCAAAGCUAGGGUUUGGUAGCUUACCUCUUGAGCUACACCAAAGAGAAGAGGAGAGGGAGAUGAAGGUGUCCAAGGCCUUCCUCUUGAUCUCCUUCUUCUUCUCCUCCCUUUUCUUCUUCUCCUUUUCCUUCCUGUCCUUCUUGUUCUUCUUGUUCUUAUUCUCUUUCUAGAGAGAGAGAGGGAGCAAGAGAGAGUGUAAGAGAGAGAGAAAGGGCCUACAUACCCCUCUAUUGUAACAAAAUCCAUUUUAGCCCCUCAACUUUUCACCCUGUACACAGUCCUCACUGGGCAUUCUGCGCCCAGAGGGACCGGUCCCUCGUCGGGGAGACCGGUCCCCGAGAGCAGUCCUGGCGGCCAGAAGGCCUCUUCGUGUUCGGGGACCGGUCUCUCCCUGGGAGACCGGUCCUCGGGAGACCGGUCCUCGCCUGAGAGACCGGUCUCCGAGAGCUCGAUUUUUAGGACUUAGCCGAUUUUGGCCUUCUCUCGCUGGCGUCGCACACGGGAACCGGUCCCCUCAGCCAGGGACUGGUUGCAUCAAAGAUCCCCAGCAACCACCAGCCUCGGGGACCGGUCUCUUCCUGCCAGGGACCGGUCCCCGAGAGCAACUUCAGCCCAGUGCAGGUUUUGCACUAUAUGCUCUCGCGGACUCAACUCCAAUGCACUUUUUGUGUUUUGGAUAACUUUAGCUUUCUCAAAGAAUACUCGACAAUUAGUCGAUCCUGGAUGAAAUACAACUCUCGGAUUUCGAGAAUUCACUUCCUUACAACUUGGCUGCCAUGAUAGAGCAUAUUCACUAUAUACCGAUAUAUUGGAUCAUGAUACCUACUUGCUCGUUAUGUUAGGACCUAUUAGUCAUGCUUGGACAUACUUCAUUUUGAUAAAGUAAAUUUACAACUCAUUGACAUCAUGUUUAAUUGCGACAUAGUAGCUUAGCAUUUUAUUUAUACUUUCAUAAAUGCAAUCUAUUUAUUAUUAUCGUCGUUUCUGUACUUACCCUUUUCUUUUGGGGCCUAGUGGUGCAUUGAGCUCAGGUCAGUAAUUGCCUACUGGGAACUAUAAAUUAUAGUUCUCAUGCCCUCUGUUUUAUGUCUUAUUUCAGAGCCUUUCACGCCGGGAGAGGCUAGGGACCGCGGAAAGGGUAUCGCCUCGAGCUAGCUUGCUAUCGAGGGACGCGUUGAUAGGUGGUCUAACUCUCGUUGUUUUCUUUUUGGAGAGGUUGAGUGUUGUAUUCAUGUAUAGAGACCACCCUUUUGUAUACCCCUUUUGGAGAUGGUUAUUGUAUAACUUUAUGAUUCACCUUUAUUGUUUAGUAUAUUCCUUCUACCUUGCUAUAGAUGAUAGAUUUACUCUUGCUCUGAUAUCUCUAGUUGUAGAUUAUCUUUGCCUUUAUUUUCUGCUGUUGUUGUAGAUGCCUUAUAUGUGUUGACAUAUGGCGGGUCUCGGCGCGCUCCCGGGAGGGCCUCCGCCCGUUCCGGGGCGUGACAGAUUAAUUUGGUAUCAGAGUCUAGGGUUGAGUCUCAGUGGACCUAGCAAACCUUAGGCCGGUUGGACUAUAGAAAAUAGACUCGUAAGAGACGAGGUCUAUUCGAUUUGUAAACGAAAGUAUUAUAAUUGGGUUUUAUGAUAACUCUAAAAAGUUGGAGUUGGACUAGAGUGUAUGGCUUCUAACUUCGCGGAGGGUUACGUUGGCGGCCGACAACGUAACAUCGGGAGUUAGUUGUGGAUAACACUUUCUUACUUUCGCAUGAUUUGGGUAUUGUUUAUUUGAGUGGGGAUACGAUAGCGUGGGUUGUACUAACUUGUGUUUUUAUGAUGUUGUAGAGACGAUGCCGAUCACCCGCUCUAAAUCUGCUGGAGCGGAUAAUGCGGCACAUCUUGAGCAGGUCGAGACCUCCGCUACCUUCGGAUCCGGUGAGGUCCGUGAGUUGAGGGGCCAGCUAGCAGCCCUCACUGCUUUGGUGACGGAGCAGGCGGACGCGGCACGCUGGCAGGAGGCGCGGAUGAAGCAUUUAGAGGACCUUCUGCUACAGCAGGCGGCUGCCAGGGAGACUCAGAACCUUACACCACCCGCACCAGUGGAGGUGGUUGCGCCCAGGGUGUCUUCCCCUGCACUCGACGCUUCUAAAACGGCACCAGCAGCAGCACCUCGAGAGGAGGACAUCGCGGCACCACCAGCGCGAGCACCUGUAGCGGGGGCGGUUUUCUCUGUGAUGGUUGAGGGAGCUGAGCGGGAUCGGCUUAUGGAGCGUCUUAGUGAGUUCAUGAGAUGCAGUCCACGGAGCUUCGACGGGGAGAACGUGGACCAUUGGAUAGUAGAGAAAUGGCUGAUGCAUAUGGAGAAGCUGUUUCGGGACACCUUUGUCGAGGAGAGGGAUCGAGUGUGGCUCGCCACACAUCAUUUGGACGGCGAGGCCUAUAGAUAGUGGUUGGACAUCCAGGAUAACCCCAGCACGGAUUUGACAGCGAUUUCAUGGAGGAGGUUCAAGGAACUCCUACUGGAGCAUUACUUCCCUGACAGUGUUAAGAGGAAGAUGGAGCAGGAUCUGCACAAUCUGCGUUAGGGGGACAGGACUGUAGCCGAGUAUGAGAGAGAGUUCUCCCGGCUUCUUCAUUAUGUGCCCUUCGUUGUUUGAGACGACGUGGACAAGGCCCGCAUCUUCGAGAGGGGAUAGCGGCCUUCGAUCUUUCGGUUUGUUCAGUCUUCCAACCUCCAAACCUAUCGGGAGGUUGUGAACCGCGCACUCAUAGUGGAGAGUGGCGCGGCAGAUCUGCAGGAGCGGCGAGAGGCCCUGGACAAAGGCAAGGGCAAGAGGCCCGCGACUGAAGGUGCGAGCCAGGCGCACUUUGGGAGGCCGCCGAGGCAUCCGAGACACUGGAGCUAGUCGCGAGGACGUGGCCAGUCUACUCAGCGAGGAGGACCUAAUCGACGCCAGGCUCCGCGCUGCGUGAUCUGCGGUGGUCCCCAUUUUCCACGGCAGUGUUCACGCAGUCUGGGCAAGUGCUACUUGUGUGGUCAAGAGGGCCACUUCCAGUCGGACUCCCCGAGGAGUCCAGCACCAGUGCCAUCUUCGGCAUCUGCACCAGCUUUACCGGGUCCUAGCCAGGGGACACUUUCUGCGCAUCACCAGGCUGGGCGGCCGUUAGUUCAGCGGUAGGCGGAGGGGUCACGACAGGCCCCGAGUGGGCGCAUGUAUGCGGCCCAGACUAAGGAGGCUGCGGCAGUCGAGAAUGUGGUCACAGGUAUUAUUUUAUUUUAUGGUAUUCGAGUACGAGCAUUAUUUGAUACCAGUGGAUCGCAUUCAUUUAUAAACUGGCUGUUUGCCGAAUUGCAUGGCAUCCCACUGACAUCGUUGUUUCAUCCGGGACGAGUCAUAGUACCCGAUCACUCUUUGGAUAUCCGAGAGUUUUGCCCCAGUUGCCCUGUUCGGGUUGGAGAUUGGAUCAUGCCCGUGGACUUGCUAGCUUUGCAUAAACUCGGAGAGUUUGAUGUUGUUUUGGGCAUGGAUUGGUUGACCAAGUACUACGCCACUAUUGAUUGCAUGAAUCGAACAGUGACGUUUAAAGAGCCGGGGCAGGAAGAGGUUGUGUAUCGAGGAUGCCAGAGUUCGCUGUUUGCGAUGACGAUUAGCUCCUCUCAUGCUAGGCAGUUGAUCAGCAGAGGCUGCAUAGCCUAUUUGGCUACUGUUGUGUUGCGGGGCGAUGCAGACGCCCCUAGGAUUGAGGAUAUCCCCGUGGUAUGAAAGUUUGGAGAUGCAUUUCCAGCAGAGCUUCCAGGCAUGCCACCUGAUAGGGAGAUUGAGUUUGUGGUAGAUCUCAUUCCUGGGACUACCCCAAUCUCAAAGGCGCCCUAUAGGAUGGCACCAGCGGAAUUGAAGGAGCUGAAGGCACAGUUGCAGGAUCUUCUGGACAAGAGUUUUGUGCAACCGAGUGUGUCACCUUGGGGAGCACCGGUUCUGUUUGUGAAGAAGAAGGAUGGAUCACUUCGCUUGUGCGUGGAUUAUCGUGAACUCAAUAAAGUCACAAUCAAGAAUAAGUAUCCAUUACCGAGGAUUGAUGAUUUAUUUGAUCAGCUCCAGGGAUCUAGUGUGUAUUCCAAGAUCGACUUGCAGUCGGGAUACCAUCAGUUGAAGAUCAAGCCUGAGGAUGUGUCGAAGACGGCUUUUAGAACACGGUAUGGACAUUAUGAGUUUACAGUUAUGCCGUUUGGGCUUACUAAUGCCUCGACAGCUUUUAUGGAUUCGAUAAACCGUGUUUUCAAGCCUUAUUUAGACAGGUUCGUCGUGGUAUUCAUCGACGACAUUUUGGUUUAUUCCCGAAGUGAUGCGGAUCACGAGGAAUACUUGAGACUUGUACUUCAAGUGCUUCGGACAAAGGAGCUCCAUGCCAAAUUGAAGAAGUGUGAGUUUUGGCUUAGAGAGGUGACGUUUUUGGGCCAUUUGCUUUCAGGAUCAGGUAUAGCUGUGGAUCCUAGAAAGAUUGAAGCCAUCAAGGAUUGGCCGAGGCCGACGAGUGUCACCAAGAUUCGGAGUUUUCUUGGCUUGGCCGGCUACUACCGACGGUUUGUCGAGGGAUUCACAAAGUUAUCUACUCCCCUUACAAGGCUUACGCAUAAAGGCACCAAGUUUGUUUGGAAUGAUGCAUGUGAAAGGAGCUUCCAAGAAUUGAAGCAGAGAUUGACGACCGCCCCGAUCCUAACCGUGCCAACUGCUGGAGUAGGGUAUGUGGUUUAUAGUGAUGCUUCCUUUAAUGGAUUGGGCUGUGUCUUGAUGCAGGACGGGAAAGUGAUCGCGUAUGCAUCCCCCCAACUGAAGGAUUAUGAAAGAAACUACCCUACUCACGAUUUGGAGUUGGCGGCCGUAGUCUUUGCAUUGAAGCUGUGGCGCCAUUACUUGUACGGCGAGUGAUGCGAAGUAUAUACGAAUCACAAGAGUUUAAAGUAUCUAUUCACUCAGAAGGAGUUGAACUUGAGGCAGCGCAGAUGGUUGGAGCUACUCAAGGAUUAUGAUUUGACGAUACUUUACCACCCGGGCAAGGCUAACGUGGUGGCGGAUGCGCUAAGUAGGAAAUCGACGGAAAACUUAGUGAUGCUUGUUGUUACUCAACCGCCGUUGAUCAAGCAGAUGAAGCGGUUGGAGUUGGAGGUGGUGGCAACCUGAUACACCCUUGAGACUGAUGACCUUGGUGGUGCAACCUACACUUUUGGAAAGGAUUAAAGAAAAGCAAGUCUCCGAUGUGGAGUUGCAACGGAUAAGAGCUAAGAUGAUUGAUGGUUGCACCGGUGACUUUUCUGUAGACGGUGUUGGAUUGAUGCGUUUCCGUGGACGGAUCUGUGUACCAGCAGAAUCGGCACUUAGAGAAGAAAUUCUUCAAGAGGCACACCGAGCACCGUAUGCUAUACAUCUGGGAGGCACCAAGAUGUACAAGGACUUGAAGUUGCUUUAUUGGUGGCCUGGGAUGAUGAAAAACGUUGGUGAGUUUGUUGCUAGAUGUCUAACUUGCCAACAGGUGAAAGCUGAGCACCGAAUUUCCGCGGAAAAAUUACAGAGCUUACCGAUUCCUGUGUGGAAAUGGGAGAAGAUCACCAUGGACUUCGUGAUGGGAUUGCCCCGCUCACAGGCCGGGCAUAAUGCUAUUUGGGUGAUUGUGGAUAGGUUGACGAAAUCGACACAUUUCAUACCUAUCCACACCACUUGGACUGGUGAGAGACUUGCACAGGUAUAUUUGGAUGAGAUUGUGCGAUUGCACGGGGUACCUACUUCUAUAAUAUCAGAUCGAGACCCCCGAUUUGUAUCUCAUUUUUGGAGGAGCUUACAAGAUACUUUGGGUACGCGCUUUGAUUUCAGUACCGCUUUCCACCCCCAGAGUGAUGGGCAGUCAGAGCGCACUAUACAGACUCUCGAGGACAUGCUUUGAGCCUGUGUGAUUGACUUCGAGGGAGGAUGGUCGCAGCAUCUACCGAUGGCAGAGUUUGCUUGUAACAACAGUUAUCAAGCAAGCAUCAAGAUGGCACCUUUCGAGGCACUCUAUGGACGAAAGUGUAGAUCACCACUUCAUUGGAGUGAAGUUGACGAGAGAUUGGUUUUCGGCCCAGAUGUGCUCUAGGAAGCAGAGAGCAAGGUUCGCAUUGCUCGGGAGCGACUGUUGACAGCCUAGAGUAGGCAGAGGAGUUAUGCUGAUAGGCGUCGACGAGACUUGGAGUUUCAGAUUGGUGAUCAUGUCUUCUUGAAAGUCUCGCCGACCAGAGGGAUUAGAAGAUUUGGGAUCCGGGGUAAGUUGAGCCCCCGAUACAUUGGACCGUAUAAGGUUUUGGAGCGUGUAGGCCCGGUGGCAUAUCGACUUGCUCUACCACUGAACCUAUCGGGUGUACACAAUGUAUUUCAUGUAUCGGUCCUUCGGAAGUACAUCCAUGAUCCGGCUCACAUGUUGGACGCUACACCUUUGGAGCUGAGGGAUGAUUUGAGCUUUGAAGAGCAACCUUUGAGAAUUUUGGCUCGCGAAGUAAAGAGAUUGCGGAACCGUGAGAUUCCCUACGUGAAGGUGCUUUGGAGCAACCAUGAUGAGCGCGAGGCCACUUAGGAGUUGGAGAGCACGCUGCAGGAGCGCUAUCCCCAUCUUUUUCAGAUGGAGGCUUGAGGUACCUUGCUUUUCGAGUUUCGCAGACAAAACUCCUUAUUAGGAGGGGUGAAUGUAACACACUGGACCUUUGCAAAUUGCGAGGUUCGAGUGUUUGGGUUGAGUUAUGAGUUUUUUCAGAUUUUCUAGUGGGUCAUUGACAGUGUUUUGACCUAUGGCUCGUACCCCGAGAAUUGAGGUUUGAAGCUUUGCACCAAAACCCGAAAGUCGAAUUUUUGGUCAGCUCUCGGGUAGCCUUCUGCAGGCUGCGUACCGGUACAGGGUUGAUGGCUGUACCGGUAUAGGGUUGAUGGCUGUACCGGUACGCGGGCCUGUGUACCGGUAUACUGUGGCAGAAUCUGAAUGGUCGAACUGCAGGGGUGUUUUUGCGAUUGUGGCUUUCUAUAACACCACCCACGCCCCUUAGAGCCUCCCCUGAGCUGAAACUAGUGGAGAGCAAGGUAGGACUCCUCUCCUCCUCUCCUCUUUGGUUUAUUCUUUCCUUUUUACUUGGGAUUUAAGGUUUGAUUUCCUCUUUUGCUCCUUGGUGAUAUUUCCACCUUGGUUGAAGCUUGAAGCUUGGAUUUGGAGCUUGGUUGAGGGAAGAUCUUUGAAGUUUGAAGACUUAGAGCUUGGAUUGAAGCUUUCAAGAGGUUGGUAACAAGUUUCUUUCAUUUAGAUUCUUGUUUUGAUGGUUUCUUUGAGAUGAAACCCUAGAAUGAGGUUUUAGGGUUGAUUUUGGGCAUUUUGGAUCUAGGGCUUUUGGAGCUCAAUCUCUUGGAUUAGAACCUUCCUCUAGGUUGGAUUGGAAGGGUUCUAGCCCUCUUUUGGAGCUUAAGAAGAGAUUUCUUCAUUGAAGGUGAGUUUUGGCACUUUUCUUGAGACGGUUAAAGAUCGAGCUAGGGAUUGUUCAUAACGUUCGUUUCUCUCUUCUUUCCUUACCUUUAGGGUGCUAGAGGACUUGGGGACAACUUCGUUUGAGCUUACGAAGGGUUCCGAGAUGCUUCGGUGGGUUUGACCUAGCCGCACAAUGAGAAAUUCUCAUUUGUGAUGAUUUGAGUAUCAUAAAAUGGAAAAACAUGCAUAUUCAUGUUAAAUGUAUUUAUUAUGAAUUUUAGAAUGCUUAAAAUGCCUAUGUUACAUAUAAUGCAUUUUGGAUCUCUAUGUAGUGGAGAGUUGCAUGUGGGGCUUAUGGUUGCAUUUAGCAUUCCGUGUGGGAUUUGGGACCAUGUUUCCUAUAGUAGAAAUGACAUAUGUUGUCACGCCCCCGCCCCGAGGCCACUACCAAUUUGGUCUGGUUUGGGCGCGGCGGACGGACGCCGAACGGACAGUACCUCCCCUGUUCGCCCAAGGCUAAACAACCUGAUCAAUUACAAUUAAGCGCCCAGGAAUUUGCUUAAAUAACAUACAUGAUCAAUUAUGAUGUACACAAGUGCAAUACAGCUAAGAGCAAAAACCACAAGUAAUAUACAAGUGUAUAAAGAGAAAUAGUCUAGCUAUUACAACCAUUCAACAUUUACAUAAGUUGAUUACAUUACAUUUUCAUCUUUCAAAAUAUAAAUACAUGUUUUUCUCCAAAAUACAAGUAGCUCUCCGAUAACGAUCGAAACAUCUUCUAGUACACGAGGGUACUCUAAUGCAUAAGGAAAAGCUACUAACUAAGCUUAUUUAGGGCGCUAUGCCCUUGCCGCGAUUCUCGCUCGGCUCGCCCCUGUGUGUACCUGUACCCCAAAACCACAUGGGGUGAGAACUAUAUAAAUAUAGUUCCUAGUGGGUUCGGCCUCCGACUCUGCCGGUUUUCCCAUUAGGUGUAAGCUGGUACAGAUAGAGAGAUAGAUAGAUAUAUAGAGAAAUGAACUGCAACUACUCUAUCAUGCCACCAAUGAUAAUAAUGCAUACAACAACUACUAUCAUGCUAGUAUCAUGUCAUGAGUAUAGAAAAGUACAUAGCAAUGCAAAUUACAACAUACACUAUGUCUACUCAAGGUAAUAAUGCAAAUCUACUAUGCAUUCCAUGUUUAUUACCCAAUCUACUUGGCUAACCCGUAGGUUAUGCCCUCGACUCACUCUCAAUCUCAUAGGUGAGGAGAAGCUGCACUCGCACACCGAGACCGUCUGCGGGACAACUACGUCUGCCCCUAGUGAAGUACUCCGGAGACUCGUACCACGGUGGAGCGACACUGACAGCGAAAACAGACUAAUGAGUAUGAUCCAAUCCUCACAAGAGGAUACCCUAUCUACAAAGGUCAACGUGCCUCUGCUGCACAUUAUACAAUGCAUCUUAGAUGCUGGGAUCUCUACUAUCCCUAGAACCAUGUCAUGUUUACUACACUAGACUCGAUGCCACUCGUUCGAUCAUUGUAGUAAGUUUUCUAGCUAGUUGACAUGCUACUCGUUCUUGUUUAGUGUUUCUACUACACUAGUUCAAUGCCACUCUACUAGGCUAACAUAUGUCCAAGUUCGGCUCUUUAUACCUGUUGAGUCAGUUAGGCGCGAACAGCUGGCAUGCCGAGUCCAUAUCCAUAAGACGGCUAAAACGGUAAACCUAGAAUACACCGGACGCAUGCGAGUCGCACUGGACCGAGAAGUUAUAACAACCGCAAGCAGUUACGAGCGGUUUCGAUCGGCCGAAGGUGGUCCUACGAAUCAGGAGAUAGUGGCUGAUCGUGCAAGAGCAAUAACUAACGCAAAGGCGGUUCUAUAAAUAGGCAUACGAUACCCUGAAAAAGGGUCUUCGCCCUUGCGCACAAAAGACCACCUUUAUUUUCCUGUAUCUUUCUAUUCUCGCAUUUACCGCUUUCCUUAGGAGUAGUUCCGGUAAUUUAGCAUACUAGGAGUCUAUCUGCCCUACGUGCAUCACUCCCCUGUUCCCAUACUCGGAGUCUGUUUGCCCUACGAGCAUCACUCCCUUGCUCGUGUACUUUUUCCCAUUUGCUAUUCAAUAGAAAGUCAUUUUCGGCUCUUCCUGCCGAUCAGAUCACAAGUUGUUUAGCCAUUCGGCUCAUUUCUUAAUCGAAUUCUGGGCUUCCCCUCUCCAUUCAGCUCAUCGAGCCGAAGCGAAUUUACUGUGGAGGAUUUCGAACCCGGCUGAUUCGAUCUCUCAUCGGCCUAAUCGCUUGAUCCUUUAUGGGCGCAUACUUCGAGGGUCAUAAUCCGCAGCCGUCUCGCACCCCGACGUUCUUCCUGAGGAGAAUUCUUGACCGGGUCAAGGGUCGGGACAUUCGGCGCGCAAUAAUUUUUUGGCACGCCCGGUGGGACACAUUUUUUGAGGUAAAUCUGCAUUUUAUAUAAAACAUGGCUGAUGAUAACGCCAUGAAUCUCCGUAACAGGGCUAUUCCCAGAAAUUCUGGGAGCGAACAGCCCAGCAAUUCGAAAAAUAAUGUAGAGCGCCAGGCGGUUUUACCUGUUGAGGGUGAGACUAGUGGUCAAUCUGACCAACAGGAGCCUAGUUUGACCCAAGCGCUUGGUCAAAUGACUCGGGUCCUACAAACUUUGGACCAAAAUAGUCAUGCGAGUACUGCACGGCUGGAUGCCGUUUUGGCCGCAAUCACGGCCUCUAACGAGAACAUAGCCCGAAUAGGGCAAUUGUUAGCUCGGAAUGAACAGCCGAUAGCAGGCCUACAAGCGCCUGUGAUAACGCCAAUGUUACAGAAUCCAGUAACACCGGUAGUUCGGCAGCCCGAAUACCAGUGGCUACAGUAUCAAGCGGCUUAUAGGCCGGCUGUUGGUAAUGCUGGUCAACAGCCGGAAGUGGCUUGGGGGUUACCUCCACUUCGUCCAGUUGCAGCCUACCUGCCCCAAAAUGUAGGGGCUAGGGGGCAGGUUUUGAAUGGGCAAGGGAUUAAUCCCUUAGCACAAAAUCUCAGUGCACAACAACCACCGAAUCCGGUACCAGCGCAAGUUCCUUUCCAAGGAGUUAACAAUGAGAUAUAUGCGCAAAUAGAGGAGGCCAUCCGAAACACUUUCUGUCACGCCCCGGGACCGAUGCCAAUUUGGCCCGACCCGAGCACGACAAACAGACGCCGAACGGACAGAGUUUCCCCUAUCCGCCCAAGGCUCAUCACACGUACAUUUUCAUCAUUAGAGAAAAGCACUAGCGGAAACAUACACAAACAGCUUACACGAGGGUAAGCAAUAGCCAUAAGUGAAAGAAAGGAAAACUAAACAUUCACAAGUAAUAUGAUUCAUUUUAGAUCAUAUACAUUACAUCCAUCUUUUACAUUUAAGAUUCUUGCUGUUCUUACAUAAUCUCAUCAUUUCUUUCUUACAACACAUUUACCUCAAAAUAAGCUUUACAUUCUUUCUUUACAUCACAAAUCAUCAAAUACAAAAGAUGAUAAAAGGGUGUCUACUAACAAAAUGUAAACCCAACUCUGGUGGCCUCUGACUAAGGCGCGAUACCUUUACCUCGGUCGCUCGCCGGCUCGCUCGGUCCCGGCUCUGUGGAAAUAGUGGGGUGAGAACUACAACAAAGUUCCCAGUGGGUUCGGCCUCAAUAUCACCGACUUUCCCACUAGGACUAACUCAGGCAUAAUAGAAAGGAUAAGCUGAAAUAUGGUAACCAAUCUAUAACAUGAUGCUAAUAUGCCUGAANNNNNNNNNNNNNNNNNNNNNNNNNNNNNNNNNNNNNNNNNNNNNNNNNNNNNNNNNNNNNNNNNNNNNNNNNNNNNNNNNNNNNNNNNNNNNNNNNNNNNNNNNNNNNNNNNNNNNNNNNNNNNNNNNNNNNNNNNNNNNNNNNNNNNNNNNNNNNNNNNNNNNNNNNNNNNNNNNNNNNNNNNNNNNNNNNNNNNNNNNNNNNNNNNNNNNNNNNNNNNNNNNNNNNNNNNNNNNNNNNNNNNNNNNNNNNNNNNNNNNNNNNNNNNNNNNNNNNNNNNNNNNNNNNNNNNNNNNNNNNNNNNNNNNNNNNNNNNNNNNNNNNNNNNNNNNNNNNNNNNNNNNNNNNNNNNNNNNNNNNNNNNNNNNNNNNNNNNNNNNNNNNNNNNNNNNNNNNNNNNNNNNNNNNNNNNNNNNNNNNNNNNNNNNNNNNNNNNNNNNNNNNNNNNNNNNNNNNNNNNNNNNNNNNNNNNNNNNNNNNNNNNNNNNNNNNNNNNNNNNNNNNNNNNNNNNNNNNNNNNNNNNNNNNNNNNNNNNNNNNNNNNNNNNNNNNNNNNNNNNNNNNNNNNNNNNNNNNNNNNNNNNNNNNNNNNNNNNNNNNNNNNNNNNNNNNNNNNNNNNNNNNNNNNNNNNNNNNNNNNNNNNNNNNNNNNNNNNNNNNNNNNNNNNNNNNNNNNNNNNNNNNNNNNNNNNNNNNNNNNNNNNNNNNNNNNNNNNNNNNNNNNNNNNNNNNNNNNNNNNNNNNNNNNNNNNNNNNNNNNNNNNNNNNNNNNNNNNNNNNNNNNNNNNNNNNNNNNNNNNNNNNNNNNNNNNNNNNNNNNNNNNNNNNNNNNNNNNNNNNNNNNNNNNNNNNNNNNNNNNNNNNNNNNNNNNNNNNNNNNNNNNNNNNNNNNNNNNNNNNNNNNNNNNNNNNNNNNNNNNNNNNNNNNNNNNNNNNNNNNNNNNNNNNNNNNNNNNNNNNNNNNNNNNNNNNNNNNNNNNNNNNNNNNNNNNNNNNNNNNNNNNNNNNNNNNNNNNNNNNNNNNNNNNNNNNNNNNNNNNNNNNNNNNNNNNNNNNNNNNNNNNNNNNNNNNNNNNNNNNNNNNNNNNNNNNNNNNNNNNNNNNNNNNNNNNNNNNNNNNNNNNNNNNNNNNNNNNNNNNNNNNNNNNNNNNNNNNNNNNNNNNNNNNNNNNNNNNNNNNNNNNNNNNNNNNNNNNNNNNNNNNNNNNNNNNNNNNNNNNNNNNNNNNNNNNNNNNNNNNNNNNNNNNNNNNNNNNNNNNNNNNNNNNNNNNNNNNNNNNNNNNNNNNNNNNNNNNNNNNNNNNNNNNNNNNNNNNNNNNNNNNNNNNNNNNNNNNNNNNNNNNNNNNNNNNNNNNNNNNNNNNNNNNNNNNNNNNNNNNNNNNNNNNNNNNNNNNNNNNNNNNNNNNNNNNNNNNNNNNNNNNNNNNNNNNNNNNNNNNNNNNNNNNNNNNNNNNNNNNNNNNNNNNNNNNNNNNNNNNNNNNNNNNNNNNNNNNNNNNNNNNNNNNNNNNNNNNNNNNNNNNNNNNNNNNNNNNNNNNNNNNNNNNNNNNNNNNNNNNNNNNNNNNNNNNNNNNNNNNNNNNNNNNNNNNNNNNNNNNNNNNNNNNNNNNNNNNNNNNNNNNNNNNNNNNNNNNNNNNNNNNNNNNNNNNNNNNNNNNNNNNNNNNNNNNNNNNNNNNNNNNNNNNNNNNNNNNNNNNNNNNNNNNNNNNNNNNNNNNNNNNNNNNNNNNNNNNNNNNNNNNNNNNNNNNNNNNNNNNNNNNNNNNNNNNNNNNNNNNNNNNNNNNNNNNNNNNNNNNNNNNNNNNNNNNNNNNNNNNNNNNNNNNNNNNNNNNNNNNNNNUUUUCUUCCUUUCUUCUUCUUCUCCUUUGUCUUCUAGAGAGAGAGAGGGAGAGAAGAGAGUGUGAGAGGGUGAGAAAUGAGAGAAAAACCCCUCAGCCCCCCUAACAUAGCUCAAUGGGUUGCCAAAAUGCAAAUAAACCCCUCAACUUUCACUUUAAUACACUGCCCGAACUGGGCAUUCCGCGCAGGCAGAGACCGGUCUCCCCGAGCAGGGACCGGUUCCCGAACGUCCACCCUGCGCAGCCAGAGCUGCUGCGCGCAGUGCAACCGGUCUCUCCUUAUGGGACCGGUCUCUGGGGGACCGGUCUCUCAGGCAGAGACCGGUUCCCGAGAGCUAUCCUUCCAGGACUUAGCCGAUUUUUCGGCUGUCUCAUUUCAUACGUGUUCGGGGACCGGUCUCUCCCUUUAGGGACCGGUCCCCGAGAGCUGAAAAUCUGCAGUUUUGCAGAAUUGAUUCUUUAGCUCUCGAAAACCUUCCACAACUCACUUUCGAUCAUUUUAGCACCUUCGGACUUUCCGAAGUGUACCGUCCUCGCACUUUGGUCAAUUUGACUAAAGUUCGAUAUUUAUUUUCCGAAUUUUCGGUAUAUUACACUUUCGGAGUAGGCACAAGGCUGGCAAUGCGGCUUGUAUUUAGAUCACCAUAUCCUGCAAAUAUAGAUGUAGAACACCCAUAUCCGGCAAAUUGGAAGAUGCCGAAAUUUGACAAAUUCUCCGGCGAUGAGACCGAAAAUACGGUCGAACACGUCGCUCGAUUUACAGCCCAAUGCCGCGAAGCAGUGGCAGAUCCUUUUUUAAAAUUAAGGUUAUUCAAUACCUCACUGACCAAGACUGCCUUCACUUGGUAUACAAGUCUAUCUGCUAAUUUCGUCCGAGACUGGGACGAAUUAGAGGGAAAAUUUCAUGAGCAAUUUUAUAGAACCGAGCCGGAGUUGUCGGUUGCAGACUUGGCUCAAUUUAGACAAAAAACAGGAGAAUCGGUUGAUGAAUAUUUAAACCGAUUCAAGACGGCUCGAAGCCGAUGUUUUGUAAGGAUGCCGGAAUCAGAAUUUGCCAAAAUGGCAUUUAACGGCAUGCAUUUUAAGAUUAAAGAUCAUUUUGAUGAUAAGUUUUUUCCAAAUCUUUUUGAUUUAGGAGUUCGAGUUGCUCAAUACGAGCAAUUUCGAAAAGGGAAUAAUGAAGAUCGGCCUAGAUGGAGCCGAAACAAGGAUUGGAACAAACGCAAAGAGAAAUAUUUCUUUCUUUGAAGAGUCCUCGGCUCAUGAAGAGCCGAAUUCAUCUGAAGAGGCAGAAGAUUCGGCUGAUGAGGCCGAAAUCUGUGCUGCCGAGAUGAUAAGAAACAGUCAACCGUAUAAAUGUGCUUUGCUAAAACCUGCAAAGUCAAGAGAAGCAAAAGCACAAAUAUCAGCAUUUAGUUAUUCAUUUGACAUAGCAAAGACCGAUCUUAUUUUCGAUCGGUUGUUAAAGGAUGGACGAAUUAAACUACAGGAAGGCCAAACCAUACCUCCUGUAGAAUAAUUAAAACGCAGAAGAUAUUGUAAGUGGCACCAUUCAUGGAGCCAUAAGACUAGUGAUUGCACUGCCUUCAAAAGGCAGAUUCAAAAGGAAAUAAAUGAAGGUUGGCUUAUCUUUGCCGACCAAGAAAAUAAAGACAUGGAAAUUGAUAAGAAUCCUUUUCUAUCACAGGUCAACGCCGUGAACAUGAAAGGGAAAGGAAAGGCGAUUACGAAAAGGUAGAUCCAAGAAGAAAUAGAAGAGGGUCAGCUCAUAUUGGCCGACCAGGAAAACGAAAAUAAAAUAAUUAACAAAAGUUCAUUUCCAUUUCAGGUCAAUAUGGUGAAUAUUAAAGAAAAAGAAGUUUUGGACAAGGAGACCGCUGACAACGUGGCCCAUGCCAAGAAACGCCUUCGGCUAUGCAUCAGGUGCAAGGUCGAAAUGACGAAGAAAGACUGGGAAGCCAUCGUGAAUGCCAAGAAAAGGGGGAAUGAAUGGAAUGAGCUGAUGGCCUUCCUUGAGGAUUGGGAUGACAUUCCUGAUGGCGAAGACCAAGAAGAAGAAGGCUCGGAUGCAGUCUCUAAUGAUACUGAACCGGAAGUAGAUUCGGUUCAACGCAAGAAAGAUAUGCUCAUGCAGAAGAUUCUGCAUGAUUACUACAACAACAGGUGUGGAGAACGUCAUGGCCGAUGGGACUACCAGGAUAGACCAUUCGGCUCCAAGCAAAGGUUUCCUAGAUAUCGGCCGCACUGGCAACAGCAAGCCAGGCCGAGACUAGAACCCGAAUUUGAAGGAAUGACCGAGGGAGACAUAGAAUUCCUCGGUCGGAGGUUAGUCAACGAAUUCGGCAUUCAGCCUUGGCCGAGACCAUGGAAAAGAAGAGAAAUUCUAAACAAUCAUUUAAGAACAGUAAAAGUACCGGCAAACGUGCCAGUGGAUGAAUGGCACGAAGUCGAAGUUAAACCAUCGGCCAGAUGGCAGGGGCCGAUGUUAACAAAAACCCAAAAGCGUCGGCAGCAGAGGAUGCAGGCCGAGGCACGUCAACAUUAUGAAGAGGCGAAAGAGAUGAGGCUCAAUGUAUGGAGACGCCAGGAUGAGCAGCCACACCCUUUUCGUCUGAUGAGAAAUGACCAUGAGGCAGGCGGCUCAUCGCCUGCCUUACAGUUGAAGUCAAGAAUAAAAUGGCCAACCGAGGCCGAGUUAGAAGAGAAAAUGACCAGGAGGGAGUUGGAAGAUAAAAUAGCUUCCCUCGAGACGAUGAUCAAGAGAGAAAGAUGGCCUCCUAAAGAGAGGGAGGUCCGUAUGGAGAGCGACUCUUCAGCCGAAACGGCCAAGGAGUCAGAAGAGAAGAAACAGAGAGUCAAAGGAAAAUCGGUUGACGAAUCACCGGCCGAGGUGAAUAUGGUGUACGCUCUGCCUCAAUCCUUCAAAGCAGAGUUUGUUGAGUCCGAGAAAUUCAGAGAAGAGGAAGAAAAUGGGCUUACAGUAGCCCAAUUGCACCUAGAGGAUGUUCGACAGGCCAAUGCGGUGGUUUUUGGGAAACCAUUGGCCAUACAGAAGAGGUUCAUCAGGCCUCUCUUUAUAAAAGCUUUAAUAGAAGGCCGGCCGGUAGGCCGAGUUAUGGUAGACGGCGGCGCUAUGGUCAAUGUGAUGCCUACUUCUUUUUUCAAGAAGUUGGGCAAAGAUGAAGACGAAUUGAAGCCCACCGAUUCAAUCAUGACCGAUUUUACAGGAAACGGUCAACAAGCUCGAGGAGUGCUCACCACCGAACUCACGGUAGGUUCAAAAACUCUAAAAACUGCGUUUUUCGUAGUGGAUGUAGAUAGCCACUACAAUUUGCUAUUGGGAAGAGAUUGGAUACACUCAAAUGAGUGUGUACCCUCUACACUCCACGAAAAAUUGUUCCAGUGGAGAGGAGACAACGUAGAAGAAGUCAGGGCCGAAGGACGGCCUCAAAUGAUAGAUGUCAACAUGGAGGACAUCGGUCACACCAAUUGGGCCGAUGCUGAUCCAGAUCAGAUUUCGUUUGUGAGAGUGACGGAGGAGGGGAUUCAAUUAAUUCUCUCCAAAGAUAUCAAUGCUAUCGUGGCUGAUGAAGAGCCACCUAAAUGGUUAAAGUGGAGUCCCAAAAGUCGAGAAUAGAGGCUGGGCAUAAGCCUCUACAGAACGAGCCGAUCAACAAGAUCGGCUAUGGAGAUGAUUCGGCUGCUAUAGCCGAUGUGUUACCACCUGACAAUUCGGCUAAUAAGGCCGAGAAAACCAUAAAGGAUUUGGCUUAUAAAGCCGAAGAAGAAGGCCAAAUGAAAUCGGUCAUGGAGACUGAUGAAUCAUAUGAGAUGAAUAGGCAAACAGCGAAAAUGAAGCUAGAAGAAUCGCCUAUUAAAGUCGACGAGAAAAAGCUGGAGAUCCAGGAUUUGUUGAUAGAGGUAAAUCUGGGGUCCCAUGAAGACAACAAGCCGACGUUUAUAAGUUUCAAGUUGUCGGCUCAGCAACAGGAAGAAUUGAAGAAGCUGUUGAAGGAGUACAAGUAUUUCUUCGCCUGGAGCUAUGAAGAAAUGUCAGGCCUAAGCUGAGAGAUCGUAGAACAUCGGCUGCCCAUCAAAAAAGGGUUCAAGCCUUUUAGACAACCAGUUCGUAGGUUUGAGCUGAGUAUUGUACUUCAAAUUAAAAAUGAAAUUGAAAAUCUUUUAAAGGCCGGAUUUAUUAGAGCGGCCCGUUAUGUUGAUUGGGUAUCUAAUAUAGUUCCAGUGCGUAAAAAGAAUGGCAAACUUAGAGUUUGUAUUGAUUUUAGGAACUUGAAUUUAGCUACACCUAAAGAUGAAUAUCCAAUGCCAAUAGCCGAUAUGUUAGUAGAUUCGGCUGCAGGUAAUGAAAUCCUGUCCUUUAUGGAUGGACAUGUUGGUUAUAACCAAAUUUACAUUGCUGAGGGAGACGUGGCUAAAACGGCUUUUAGAUGCCCCGGUUCAAUUGGAACCUUUGAAUGGGUUGUUAUGCCGUUCGGCUUAAAAAAUGCCGGAGCUACUUACCAGAGAGCAAUGAAUUUUAUUUUCCAUGAUUUAAUCGGCAAAAAGUUGGAAGUAUAUAUCGAUGAUAUAGUUGUAAAAUCCCAAUCACAAGCCGAACAUUGGAGUGAUUUGAAAUUCGCCUUUGAGAGAAUGAGAAAAUAUAAGUUAAAAAUGAACCCUUUGAAAUGCGCUUUUGGAGUUUCUGUAGGAAACUUUUUGGGAUUUUUAGUGCAUAAGAAAAGGAUCGAAAUUGAUAAAAAUAAGGCGAGAGCAAUACUAGAACUAUCGCCACCCAAGUGCAAAAAGAAGCUACAAAGUUUGCUGGGAAAGAUUAAUUAUCUUCGGCGGUUUAUAUCUAAUUUAGCCGGAAGGAUCGGGGUUUUUACUCCAUUACUUCAGCUGAAGGAUAAAGAAGAAUUCGUUUGGACAAAGGAACAGCAGGAGGCAUUUGAAAAAAUAAAAAGGUACUUAUCGAAUCCUCCAGUACUAGUACCUCCGAAGAUAAAUCAGCCGAUGAAAUUAUAUAUAUCGGCUGCAGAAGAAAAUUUGGGAUGCUUGUUAGCUCAAGAAAAUGAAGAAAAGGAAGAACAAGCCAUUUAUUAUCUAAGCCGACGUCUUUUAGAUACUGAAAAAAGGUAUUCGGCUAUUGAAAAGCUAUGUUUGGCUUUAUAUUAUUCAUGUACAAAAUUAAUAUAUUAUAUUUUACCAACUGAAGUAUCGGUAAUAUGUAAAACCGACUUGGUAAAAUAUAUGUUAUCUAAACCAGUAUUGAGGGGGCGGAUCGGAAAGUGGAUAUUAGUUUUAUCCGAAUUUUCUCUUAAUUAUGUUCCCGCCAAAGCUGUUAAAGGUCAAGCUAUAGCCGACUUUCUGGCUGAUCACCUAUGUGUAGAGAUUGAGGAGCCGAAACAAAGUUUAAUCGGCUGUCAGCCUUGGGUGUUGUAUUUUGAUGGUUCAAAAACAACCGAGUCUGCAGGAGCAGGGAUAGUGAUACAAUCUCCUGAAGGCCAUGUUUGUCAAUUCGCGUUUGAAUUAGAUUUCGGCUGUUCUAACAACCAAGCCGAAUAUGAGGCCUUGAUAAUCGGCCUUGAAAUAUUGUAAGAAUUGAAAGCAAAGUCAAUCAAAGUCAUCGGUGAUUCACAGUUAGUAAUCAAGCAGGUUAACGGGGAAUACCGAUGUGAGAAUCCGAAUUUGCAAAAUUAUUUGAGGAAGACAAUAGAAUUGUUAUGCAAUUUCGGAGAAGCCGAAUUUGAACAUUUGAACAGACAUGAAAAUGAGAAGGCAAAUGAAUUGGCCCAAUCGGCUUCAGGAUAUAGAGAGCCGAGGUCAGAGUUAAUAGUAAUACAAAGGAGAUUACUACCUUCGGUUCAUAUACGAGAACCGAUUAUAGCUCCUAUAGAAGUGAAAGAAGAUUGGAGAAAGUCAUUGAUCAAAUAUUUGGAGGAUCCUAAUAUAAGGGUCGAUUAUAAUAUUCGAAGAAGAGCUCUCGGCUAUUGUUUGUUGGAUGGUCAACUUUACAAAAGAACAGCCGAAGAAGUUCUAUUAAAAUGCUUAGGGCCUGAAGAAGCUCUAUUAGUAAUGGGAGAAACACAUGAAGGAAUAUGUGGAACCCAUCUAGCAGGAAAAAAGUUAAGAUGGACAAUUCGGCAUCUAGGAUAUUAUUGGCCGACUAUGCAUCAAGAUUGCAUAGAGUAUGCUAAGGGUUGCCAAGAAUGUCAAUUUCAUGGCUCGAUACAGAGGGUUCCUGCCUCUGAGAUGUACGCCAUAAUUAAACCAUGGCCUUUUCGGGGUUGGGCCAUAGAUUUAAUUGGAGAAAUUCAGCCGAAUUCUUCGGUUGGUCACAAAUUUCUAAUAGUAGCCAUCGAUUAUUUUACUAAGUGGGUGGAAGCCAAACCUACUCGGUUGGUUACUCAAAAAGAAAUUGUCGAUUUUGUAGAAGAUCAUAUAAUUCAUCGCUUUGGAAUUCCCGAGACAGUCACAACCGAUCAAGGGACAAUGUUCACAGGAGGACAGUUCGUUCGGUUCAUCGAGUCUCGAAAGAUAAAGUUGCUUCAUUCUUCGCCUUAUUAUGCCCAGGCAAAUGGACAAGUAGAAGCAGCAAAUAAAAUAAUUAUCAACCUUAUGAAGCGACAUAUCGGAAAACACCCGAGAAAGUGGAAUGAAAAACUUUCCGAAGUAUUAUGGGCAUGCCGAACUUCAGUGAAAACGGCAACAGGGAUGACACCGUUUCAGUUAGUUUACGGUCAUGAGGCCGUAAUUCCAGCCGAAAUAACAGUUCCUUCUUUGAGGAUAGAAAAACAAAAAGAUUUGUCGGCUGAUGAAUAUAGUAGUUUAAUGAUGGACAAAGCAGAAGAAGUAUGUGAUACUCGGCUGAUAGCUUUAGACAAUAUACAAGCAUACCAAAGCCGAGUGCGUAGCGCAUACAAUAAGAAAGUUCGAUCAAAGAUAUUUGUCGUCGGUGAUCUAGUACUUCGGCUGAUUUUUUCAAUCGGUCAAAAAGAUCGAAUGUAUGGAAAAUGGUCCCCAAAUUGGGACGGGCCAUUUCAGAUUAGCCGAAUCACAAGAGGAAAUGCAUAUUAUUUACAAAGCAGAGAUGGGUCAGAAAAUGAAAAACCAAUCAACGAAAAAUAUUUAAAGAGAUAUUACCCAUCCAUGUGGGAGAAUAAUUAAAAUCAGAGUUAGAAUAUUACAAGCCGAAUCAGGAUAGUAAGUCUUUGAGUUGAUUCCAUUCGGCUAUGAGAUUGACUUGGGCGGUUUCAGCAGUUUUCCUUCGGCGCUUCAUCAGAGGAUGAACUUUGUAAAGUUGAGAAAGCUCCUCUUUAAGCCUUAUCCCUUCUUCCUUUUUGGACUUCAAUAGAUCUUUUAGUUGAAGUCGGCGCUCAGAGGUUUGUGCGAGAGUAGAUUCGGCUGCGGCUAACUCUUCUUUAAGAGUAGAAAUCCGUUGUUGUAGAGCCGAUUCUUGAUCAGCCAAUUUCUUAUCCUCUUGAUGCACUUCAGUAGGCGGGGCUGCUAUAUCAGGGAUAUUCUUCUUAAAAUGAUCAACACGAUGAAAAUGUUGAUCUAAAACUACAAGUUCGGCGCCCAAAGAUCGCUGCCGAGCCAAAAAAGAUGAAAGUUGAAGUGAUAAGGUUGCUACAAAACAUUUUAUGCCGGGAGUAAUAUCUGAGCUAGACCAAAAAUACCAAUGCUAUACAUUUUAAGGCAUUCAUCGAACUUAUUUUGGAUGUCUGAUGAAAUGGUAAUGGUCGAAGAAUCAUCCCCUUCAUUGGAGCUGGGGCUUGAAAUCAAAAAAGAAUGAAGAAUCACAGAUAAAGGAUCAUCAGCAAUAGGGAAAGAAGCUCCCUGGGGCGAGCAGGGAGGAAUAGUGCUUGUGUCUUCGGAAGUUCGCCCGAGAGGUAUGUUUAUCUGUUCAUCCCUUGUAGUUGAUGUCGGGGCAGGAGCAGAAAGAGGUCAUGCAACCUCACUGGGUAACGGCGUCGUGCUCGCUGUUUCAACAAAUUUCUUCUUCUUUUCCAUCCCUCUCUUUUUCUCGAGACGGGCUUCCCUGUGAAACUGCCGUUCCAUCUGCAUCAUCGAAUAAUGAGCAAAAGGGGCUCGUUCAGGAGAAGACUGUAGUUUAAAAGAGAGUAAUAAAUAAUUAAGAAAUGUUCUUUUCGUACAACUAAUUAAUUUGGCUUACCCCAACAUCAAUCGUUUCGGUUGGAACAGAGGUAGCCAAAGAGGGUGUAGUAGCUUCUUUGGAUGGAAUGUCAGCCGAGGGAAUAUCCUCGGCUCUGUCUUUAGUGGUAUCAGCCGAAGGGGUACUUUCGGCUUGUUGAAAUUUUCUUUUAACAACUGACUUACGCCGUUUAGAAGACGGCGGGGGAGUGACUUGAACAACUUCGAUCGGUCUUUUGUCUGAAGUUGAGACCGAUGGAGAAGCAGGAAUCGACUGAAAAUAGAUAUAAACAAAAAUGAUGAGCAAAGAAAAAAUUAUGAUUAAGAUGAGUAGAGAAAUGAUAUUUUACCGAGGAAGAAGGCGGGGCAUCAGAAAUAGUGUCUGGUGGAGACUCAAUCUCGGUUGGAGAAUCUCUGCUCGGAGUCGUGGCUGUGUAUAAAAUAAAAGAUAAGUUACAGCCAUAUUAGAAGAAAAUUAUAAACAAAUAUUAUAUGACUAACCAAGUGGAUGGAUGGUUUUGGGGAAUGCCCGAGGCAGAGAAAGAUCGAAGGAGCGGUCGGUAAACUGAUCCCACGUGGUAGCAUAGCCGGCAAGGGCUAUCCCUGUAUAGUGCUAACUGAAAGAAGCGUCUGAGACGAUUCCCUAUAGCCGAAAGCUUAUCAGCUUCAAAUAUGCUCUUAGUGGGAGGACGAUGAUCGGCUGUGUUGGCCGUAAAAAAUUUAGAAGAAGCCGGGAUCGGCUGAACGAACCUAAAUUGCCGCGCCACAUACUGAGGGGAAUAAACCUUAGUACUCGGCAGUAGUUUCGAACGUGAUUUAAGCCCCACAUGAAGGUCCCGGGGGGCUAGAUACGAAUACCAUACAUCCGAAUGUUCACCGGCGCGAGAAGAAGAAAGCUCGCCCUGAAUGGCUUCAAACGGAGCCAGGAACCAAGAGGGGCCGGUGAGACAAUCAACAAAUGGAGCCCAAGAAAUAGCUGAAUCAGAGGCUGGCUCAUAAAACGUCUUGAAAUAAGUAAGAAAAUCAGAGGGCUGACAAGAGGUCAUCGGCUGUGGACAACCGAGAGCUAGCCCAUAAGAAUCAAAUUGGGCAGCUGAAAUCGGAUUGAAAGGGGAUUGGCAUAAAGCAGGAAUAUAGAAUUGAAGAAACAUUUGCAGAAACCAAAAAACGCCACACCCAGAGCUGAUGGCAAUGCCAUCACCAGAAGGUAGUGGCUUAAUAGAAUCAAAAACUUCCCUGUAAACGAAAGCAAGGAAAUAUGGCCCCAAGGCCAAUUUAUCGCCGUUAGAUAAACCAACGACGAUCGGAACAAAAUCUCGGUUAAUUUUCUACCAACGAGUGCAUAAAAGAUUGUGGCAUAACCAGUAUAGAAGGAACGCCGUGUGUUCCUUCCUGGUGACUGGGGCAGGGGAUUCACCUGCAAAUUUUCGAAGAAAUUUGGAAUAAGCCAAAUCAUUUAGAUCAAGGUGUGCCUCAAAAUCAGACACACCGUCAGGAUUGUAGGCUAUAGAGAGAGUAAUGCCAUGAGGGCGUAAGCCAACAAUGGCGGCCACAUAAAAAAGAGUGGGGGUAAGAGGCCCCCUUUUGAAAAGAAAAAUAUUAGAAACAGGGGACCAGAAACAAAGAGCAGCGGCUAGAAGAAGAUUAUUGGCUAUAGGAGGGUGCCGAGAUAAUUGAAUUGCUUCAUAAAUGCCGAUUUCCCGCCAGAAGGCGCCAAAAACGGAUUCUACUCUAUCUAACCAGGCCAAAUAUGCUUCGGAAACACUAGGCCAGGUUCUGAGACUCUUUUCUGUUGAAGCUGAUGAGUACCAAGAAUGGGGAUGAAUAAUCCUUUUCAAAGGAAGUCCCUCAUCAGAGAAAGGGGAGUCAGUAGGAGAUGGUGCAUCUACAAGAGAAGGACCUAAUAUGAAUCUAGAUGGAUCUAAGUCAACGAAAGGUUUGAGUAUAGUAUAGUCAAGAGAUGGAUGAGAAGGAAGAGGAGGAACCAAAGACAUUGUUCAAAAGAAGAGAAGAGCCGAGAGAAUCGGUUACGAAAAGCGAAGAAGGAUGAAAGAGACAAAUAAGGGGUUUUAGUGAAGGAUAUGAGGAAAAGAAAUAAGAAUUGGAAGAGACAAAAAGAAUGGGAAGCUUGAGGAAGAAGAAAAGGCCGUCGUAUCGAACUGUCGCAUCGAUUACGAGUCCCAAGGUCGGCUAUAAUGAUGAAUAGACAGCGACAAUUAAGAUGAUUUAAUGCCGCACAUGAGACAAAAGUAGAGUAUGCGAUCAGAGCCGUAAAGAAGAGAAUAAACGGCUUAGAUUAAACCGUACAGAAGAUCGUAGUGUAGAAUACGUCAGAGAAUUUGAAUUUGAUUGGACCGAGAAAUACGCCUCGGAUCAAGCUCGCUUUCGGCAACAGAAAAUUGUUUGAGAUGAAAAAGGUAACGCCAGCUACUGAAGCAUCGCUUCGAAAACUGGCGAGGGGGCAAUUGUUGAGCUAGUUAGGCGCGAACAGCUGGCAUGCCUGGUCCAUAUCCAUAAGACGGCUAAAACGGUAGACCUAGAGUACACCGGACGCAUGCGAGUCGCACUGGACCGAGGAGUUAUAACAACCGCAAGCAGUUACGAGCGGUUCCGAUCGGCCGAAGGUGGUCCUACGAAUCAGGAGAUAGUGGCUGAUCGUGCAAGAGCAAUAACUGACGCAAAGGCGGUUCUAUAAAUAGGCAUACGAUACCCUGAAAAAGGGUCUUCGCUCCUGCGCACAAAAGACCACCUUUAUUUUCCUGCAUCUUUCUAUUCUCGCAUUUACCGCUUUUCUUAGGAGUAGUUCCGGUAAUUUAGCAUACUCGGAGUCUGUCUGCCCUACGGGCAUCACUCCCCUGUUCCCAUACUCGGAGUCUGUCUGCCUACGGGCAUCACUCCCCUGCUGGUGUACUUUUUCCCAUUUGCUAUUCAAUAGAAAGUCAUCUUCGGCUUUUCCUGCCGAUCAGAUCACAAGUUGUUUAGCCAUUCGGUUCAUUUCUUAGUCGAAUUCUGGGAUUCCCCUCUCCAUUCGGCUCAUCCUGCCGAAGUGAAUUUACUGUGGAGGUUUUUGAACCUGGCUGAUUCGAUCCCUCAUCGGCCUAAUCGCUUGAUCCUUUGUGGGCGCAUACUUCGAGGGUCAUAAUCCGCAGCCGUCUCGCACCCCGACGUUCUUCCCGAGGAGAAUUCUUGACCAGGUCAAGGGUUCGGACAUUCGGCGCGCAACAAUACCAUUAUAGGAUUUUCAUGUCACAAGACCCAAUCCUCAUGCUACCCUAGUCCAUGUGUUCGACUCAUAAAUUACACUACUAAGAAGCAUGCAAGGAAAAGAAAAUAUACAUCUAUUAAUCCUAUAAUGCAAUAUGAUCAACAUUUAUAUAACUUAGACAUAAAAAGAAAUCCGGAUGCUUUGGGAUGACACCCCCACCUCUUGAGGGUAUGGAGGCUCUAGAAACGCCCUCCAACGGACUUUACGACGAGGCUUUAGCCUUCUUGGUCUAAAUGAAGCUUGGUCGGUCUUGUUUUGCCAAUAGUUUUUUACCCGCUUUACGAAUGCAAAAUCCGACUUCGCCCCCGCGUUUAGGCACCUAGCAAAUAGGUUUACAUGGUCCCAAAUUAGAUCAAUCUCAUACUUUACCAAAAACCCUAUUUUGGAGCCCUAGGGUUAGCAUCAAGCCAAACCCAUCUCAAAACCCUAGAUUCUAGCUUCAAUCCCACCAUUCAUGGUGCUAGGGAUCCAUUUGAUCCCAUCCAAAGAGCUAAAACCCAAAAACCCUAAAUUCCACAACUAGGGGUAGAAGCCUACCUCUUGUUGUAGCUUCCAAAUGAGAAGAGAGGAAGAGGGAGAGGUCCCAAAAGCCUUCUUAGCUUGAUCUCCUACUACAACAAAAUUACUUUUUAGCGGUGAUUAUUUUUUAAAUUAGCGGCAAUUACAAUUGCCGCUAAAAUGUUUUGUGGCAAUUUUAACAAUUGCCGCUAUUGGUAGUGUCGCUAAAAGUUUUAGCGGCAUUUAUUCCGACGGUUGGUAAAAAUUCAAAUAAAUGCCGCUAAAUAUUAUACAAUAACAACUAUUAUAAAUGCCGCUAAAUAGUAUGCAAUAACAACUAUUAUAAAUGCCGCUAAAUACUAUAGAAUAACAACCAUUAUAAAUGCCGCUAUAAUUAAUAAUAAUUGCCGCAAAAUGCCGCUAUAAUUAAUUAUAAUUGCCGCAAAAAACAUAUUAAAUGAUUGAUAAAUAAAACUUAUAGCGGCAAUUAUAAUUAAUAUUAAAAUAUUUGAUUAACAACUAAAUACUACAAUGAAUUGAAAUAUUAAAAAAAUAGUAGUAACCAAAAAGCAUUAAUAAUUUGUAUAACAAAUAGUCUCAACUCUCAAAUUAUAAUUUCAAUAUUCAAAUUAAAUUUCGAACAUAAGUUCUAACAAAAAAUACUUGUUCAAAAUGUAGCAAAAAAAUAACAAAUACCGCAUGGUUGAAACUCUUGCUUCCCACUUCAAUUUCCGCAGCUCCAGCUGUUCUGGAUCAACCAAAAAAAAGUCAUAAAAUCAGUAUCCGAAUUUACCAAAUAAAAAUCAUCAUAUGGGCAAAUGAUUGAUAGUACGUAGUGCUAUACAGAUACAUGCAUGAAUAUCCUAAGAUGUUGUCUGGUGAAGCAUAGACUAUAUAUAGAUCUAAUCAGUGUGUUCUAAAUUCUACUUAAUAUUAAUUGGCGAGUUCCUGAUGCAGUGUCAGCAAUUUCUUCCAAGUAAGGUAAAUAAUAAAGUCGAAAACUUUUCAAAAAUGUAUAAGCAAUUGGCCUUCUAGAUAAUAGUGUCAUCAGUGACAGCAAUUCCUCAAAACAAAUAUAAAAGAGUAGUCAAACUAGAAAAUUUAGCAAUUCUUCAAAAUAAAUGAAGCAAAGCAUUUUAUUGGAUCACUAGUGAAGUUACCCGCGCAUUGCGGCGGGCUGAUACUGUAAGAGAUAGAAAAUUAGCAUAAGUAAAAUAUUUUAAACUUUUUUCACUUGUCAUGAGAAAUCAAUCAAUACAAAUAAAAGAUAUGAAACAAAUAUAACAAAAUUUAUAAUUUUAGCAAGUAAAUUACACGUAAUAAUAAUAAUAAAAAAACAGCAAUAGAACACUACUCCACAUACACCUUAAUUGCGCUGUCGAUAUCGGGAAGGCGAAUCCUGAUCCCCACUUCUCAUUCGCCACAACUGUUAGCGUCGAGCUUCUCUUCAAUCGCAGCAACACAUAUCUUAUUUUAUUUGUUUCUUUUAUAGAAUUAAUUUGUUUAGAUGACAAUAAAUAUGAACAUAUUAAUUAAGAAAUGAAUACGUGGGAAGACGAAACAUUAUGCGGAGAUAAAAGAUAAUAAAUUCGAUCAUUAGGAAUAAAGAAAAAGGCAAGAAUGGGGGAAGGAGGCAAGGAUGAAGGAGGCUUUGCCAUGUGGCAAAGUUUAUGAAGAAUAAUGUUGAGAUCGAAGCUUAGGUUUGAUCUCAUUCUAACCUAAUUGGUAGGUCAACGAACACAUCGGUGCGCUCGGUUCGACGAUACGACGAGCGUGCGCGAAGAUAUUGGGAAAAGAAGCUAAAUUGGUACAGAUUGUCGCAGCUUGCGGUGAAAGCAUCUAAAAAUUGUGGAAAAUUGCUUUUCGUCAUCCUUGAAAUACUAAAAGGUGGGGGGUGCUAUCCGAAAACAUCGGAUCUCUUUCUAUGUCUAUGUCCCUUUUAUUGAGCAUAUUGCUAAUGUAUAUUCAUGCAUGUAGGGUAGUAAAUGAAAUAUGGUUGGUUUUGCUCAAUUAUCUGUUUAAAGAUUAUUGUGAAUAGAUAAAGAACCAUGUGAAACAUAUGAGAAUGUAAGACCCUAUGUGCAUGUGAAUGCGAGAAAAGACUUGGACAAUAGUAAACAAAGGUGACAUUGACAUUAGUGACCUGAUUGGCACCGUGAUUGUUAAUGACUAAACAAGGUUUAGCUUAUUGUGGUAUUAGGGCCAUUGCGGCUUUAUACAUUGAGACAGGUUUGGCAAGAUUUCUUCAAAUUGAGGAUUGGAUCGUACUCACACUAGCUUUGGCUUGAGGAAGGUAGCUCCUUCUCAAGCGGUGUACUUCGGAGUGUAGACACCAAGGGGAGCAGCCCGGUCAUUGUUCCCUCGGGUGGUAGUGCUAGUAGCCUCCCCCGGUAGACGGGAAUGGUGGUCUGUGAGAUUUGAGGUGAACCAUGUGUACCUCGGGAUGAUUGGGUAAAGGCCAAAAGAAAAGAAAGUAAACGAGAAAGAACGUGCAUGCAUAAGAUCUAUGAAUUGAUUAUCUACCUAUCUGUUGACAGUUAUUUUGUUGGCAUUGUAUUAGUAAUUGCAUUAGAUGGUUUGAUAUCUACUCUUAUUGAAAUACAUAUGCCUGAGAUAGACCUAGUAGGCGAGUCGGCGCGGUCGGCGGCCGAACCCACUGGGAACUUCGUUCUAGUUCUCAUUACCACUAACUCUGCAGAUUCGUGCGCGAGCGGGGCGGCGGAGGAUCGAGGCAAGGGUAUCGCGCCGUAGAUAGCGGCCUCGGAGUUUAUAGGCAUACCCUAUAUUUUGGUGUAUUCAACUUUAGUAUGUUGAACUUGUAAUGUAAAGAAUGAUAAAGAUGUAAACUUUAUUUUGGUUAAAGGCAAAAGUAAAUGUAAAUGAUUGGUAAAACAUGAAUGUAAAUGUAAUGGUUUACUUGCGUUUGAUACAAAUGUAAUCAAAUGACUUGUAUGUUGAAUGCUUAGAUAGUUUCGAUGCUUUCACUUGUGGUUGUUGUUGUUUGCCCUCGUGCAAACCUUGUAUAUCUUGCAAUUUUUUUGUUGACUUGCUUGUAAUAUACAUGUUGUUGGAGCCUUGGGUGGACAGGGGAGGUGCUGUCCGUUCGGCGUCUGUCAUGUGCUCGAAUCCGAUCAAAUUGGCGGAGCUCGGGGCGUGACACAAAAUAUGGGAGUGAGGUUAACUUUAAUUUUUUUUUUUUCAAAAGCAAAUUAAUAUCAGUCGUUGGAUGCGAGAGUUGUAGGAUGUACAACCCAAUGUGGGUUGUACCAGUAGGAUAACUCUUUUUUUUUUUUUUUUUACAACAACACAGUUCCAAAAAAGGUACACCUACAAAACAAAACCAAAAGGGAUAGACACUAUCUACUGCUCCACGUCCUUUCCUUUCUCCGCCGCGUCCGGCUCUGAUGGACCUGAAAAACGAGAGUGUGAAAACUAUAUAAAUAUCAGCCGCGAACGAACCGGCCCCGCCGUAGGUGUUUCUAAGGCGAGUGGUCAUUCAUGGUAGAGAUUAAAUUUGUUUGAAUUUUAUUUUGAAAUCAGGAUUAUAGGUUCAUGGCUUCCAACAGACUCAAGAAUCUGCUGUUAAUUACCCCACACUUUCGGUGUUAAGGAACCCUCGAUUAAGAGACCAAAUAUAAAUGCUGAUAAUAAAGGAGACCAAACAGGCAAAUAAAAUUUUACUAAUAUGAUUUGCCGUGUACAUGGCUUAAGCAGGGGCAUACCCCCACUGUACAUAAAUUUUAUAAGAUUAGAUACUCAAUUUAGUGACUUGGUGUGUAGUGUAUCGGAUUUUUUUAGUAUAGAAGUACGUGUAAAUAAAAAAUAGUGUAAGAUACUAUUUUUUUAUUGGACUUAGUGAAGUUUCCUAUGUGUAAGUGAAGGGUUUACUUGGAGGUGAAGUUUCCUAUGUGUAAGUGAAGGGUUUACUUGGAGGUGAAGUUUUUUAUGUGUAAGUGAAAGGUUUACUUGGAGGUGAAGUUUCCUAUAUAUAUGAGGGACUUGAGCCUUUUCUCUCAUUCUCCACCACUUAAACCAAAAGAGAAACCUUCUCUUUCUCUCUCUAAACCUCUCUCUCCUAGAGUUUUGCUCCAAUAGUGGAGAUUUGGUGGAAGAAGCUUACUUGCAGGUGAAGCUUUCUUCUUCUUCACCAUUGGCUUGAAGAGAGCUUGGGUUUGCGUUGGAAGAAAUCGAUGGCCAUAAAAUGCGCUGCUAGGCUACCCGCUUCGUGUCGACGCCACGAGGUGGGGGGUUGUCACGCCCCGGGACCCAGCGGGAGCCCGCCCGGCGCGUGCCCAGACCCGCCAUAUGUCUACAACAUAUAAGGCGUCUAAAAACAACAAUAAUAACAGCAAUAAUAAAAGACAUCUAGAAGUAUCAGAGCAUAAUAAAUGUCUAAAUGCUACAACAAGGGAUAAGGAUAAAGCAGUAAAUCCAUUAAGUAAAACUUAGAGUAAGAACAAUAGAAAAUCCCAAAUACAAGAGCUAUUAGUAGGUACAUAGGUGGUCUCUAUACAUGGAUACAAAAUCUCUCACUCUCUCUCAACUACAAAAAGAAGGAGUAAACCACCUAGGCAAAGUACCGCUCCUCGCUAGCUAGCUAAGCGAUCCCCUUGCCGCGAUCCCGUGCCUCCGCCGGUGCCGAAGGCUCUGAAGAGGAAACAUAGAAACAGGGGCGUGAGAACUAUUAAAAAUAGUUCCCAGUGGGCAAUUACUGACUUCAGUGAAUGCACCACAAGGCCCAAAGCUACAGAAGAGGUUAGUGACCAAAAAUGUAGAAAAGCGAAAGGUAAGUAAAAUGUAACUUACUACUACAUGAUAUCUCUACUUAGCCUAAAUAGCAUAAGUAUGAAACAACCAUUCAUGAAGUAACAGUCUCCAACUAUCAUAAUGUCCACAAUGCGAAAUAGUAAAGUUCCGUUGUUUACUAUUCUAGUCAAUGUCCAAGUAA
rnacentral:lncRNA from 1 species